rnacentral:lncRNA from 1 species
UUUUUUUUUCUGUUUAUAUUUCUCAUAAAUUAGAAAAUUUCAAAUUUCAAAAUUUGUUCAGAAUAUCCAAAUAUUUCAUGUUCUUCAAAUUUUGCUCAAUUAUUUAUUUAUUUAUUUGCAUUGUUUCAGAAAAAAAGAAUGUUUAAAGUGUCCUAUUUUUCAUAUUCAUUAAUAAAUGUUAAAAAUCCGGAAAAUGUUCAGAAUUUUCAAAUCUUGUUUUGGUUUCAAUUUUUGUUCAUAUUUUCUAAUCAAUGUACAAAAAUAAAAAAUGUUCACAUUUCAAAAACAAAUCAUAAAUUUGGUAAAAUGUUCACGUUGUCAGAUUUUGUUCUGAUUUUUGGAAGGUAUUCCCAUUUAAAAAAAAUUGUUCACGGAUUUAAAACUGUUUGCUUUUCCAAAUUUUGGUCAUAUUUUUAAAAUGUGCCAGCGUUCUGGAUACGGGGGUACCCAGACUUGCCUGCCUGCGGCCCACGACGUGGCUCCAUUGACGCCCUGGUACGGCCCAGCUUUAGCAUCAACAACUCAAGACCCUCGCGAGGGGUCAAGCCUCGCGAGGCGGACGACGCCAAGACCUUCAAGGGGAUCGGCCUCCCCAGGCUGGCUCCCGAGGAGCGGAGAUUUCUAUGCAAGGUGCACCUCGCGAGGUUCGGUUGACGUGAGCCAUGACGACCAAGGACAGGCGGGCGCCAGUGGGCGCAGAGUACCAGUUUCCUCUUCGGUGCAAGGGAGGCAAGCAACAGGAAUGGAGUCCCGAGAAAUCAACCAAAGAUUUCCAUUCUAAUGCAACAAGACCAAGACCGCCAACACGGCAGGACAGAGGUCACCACCGAGCCCACCGCAGCGUCACAACCAGAGGCUUUUGUAGGCGAAGACCGCUUUAGUCAGGAUAAGAUGUACCUGUUGUCUCCCUUCAAAUUUGGCUGUCGUGGGAUCCCUUCCCACCUACAUAUGGGAAGAGGACGAAGGCCACUAUAAAUAGGACCUAGCCACCACCAUGGGAUGGGAUCGAAUCUAUUCCACCCUCUCCACCUCACCAGCUCACUUGAGCUUAAGAACACGCCUCCUAAGGCUGUUCUCCACUGUACUAGUUCUUCCUAAGCCCCUCGAGGCAAUCCACCACAAAACAGGAGUAGGGUUUUACACCGCAAGAUGGCCCGAACCUGGGUACAUUGUCGUGUCUUUCUUUCCCUUCGAGCUCGACGCGAUAGGCUGUGAGGUUUGCGAAUUGUCAGGCUGGGUAGGUUGAGAUCACUGCAUGCACCCCAGAGUUCGAACCUCUCAAGGGUUUGUGGAACCCGAAAUCCGACAAAAUGUGCCCGUUUUAAAAUUUUCUUCACAAAUUAAAACACGUCCCCUUUUUCAAAAUUUGUCGACAGAUUGAAAUAAUGUUCAGGGAGUUUCAAAUAAUCUUCAUGCAUUCAAAGUUAUUCAUAAUAUAAAAAUAUUCAUGUUUAAAAAGAACUGCACAAAUACAAAAAGAUGUCCAGGGAAAUUUUAAAAAAAUUGGUUUCAUUUUCUGUUCGUUUUUUCUGUUUUCUGGAAUUCAAAUUUAGUUACUGUUUUCUUUAAAUGUGUUCAAAAUUUUGUUGACUCUUUUUGAAAAAUGUGUGUAUUUUGACAUUAUGAGUAAUUUUGAAAGAUAUGAACUUUUGGUGAAAUUUCUUUAUCAUUUUUAGAAAUACUAAUAUUUUUAUUUUGUGAAAAGAAAAGGAAAAAUGAAACCCGAGUGGAAGUCAUGCAUAAAAAAACAAAGAAGAACCAAAGAGUGAAGGAGUUGUGUUUUUUCUUAGAUUUAUCUAUCUCGGUCAACAAGAAAAGAACAAGGUUAUUAGGCAUGCCAGAUAAGCUAUCCCAGAUGGUUUGUGCGCUUACAUACAGUUCGUGAGCUCUAGUUCGAAUCGCGUGUUGGACAUCUAUAUUUUGAAGUUUAAAAGCAAAAAAAACUGUGUUAGCCCAGGAGGAGGGGUGUGCACUACGAAUCGUAUGGCGUAUGCAUUCUACAUAUGACAGUGGUACGAUUUGCAGAAGGUCCAUACUACCCUUUAUAUGUUUUGUGAGGGGAGGGGGGAGGGGGGGUGUACCAAAGUGGGAAUCAAAUAUUUAUCUCUUGUUUCAUGCACUAUAGAUACUAGAUGAUACCCCGCGCGUUGCUGCGGGAAUUUUGUAUCAAAUGAUGUUCAAAAAGUAAGCGUACAUAAAACUAUGGAGUUCAAUGAUAUGAUGGUAUUGGAUGUUUUAGAUACCAAAUAAACGGCCGAUGUCCAACUCAUACUUGCAUAAUCAUAUAAAUAUCAUGUUUCUCUAGGUUUAGAAAGAAUAUACACAUUGUGGAAUAGAUCAAUUGUGUUCCCAUAACAAUGUCCAACACGAAGUAAAUCAAGGCAAGACAAUGAAAAAUUGCAGGUACAGAUGCCGACUUGAGGAAAGAAACGCCUCUAAGGUGAUACGGUGCAGCUGAUAUAUAUGUGGCAUACUUCCUUGUUAUAGCUAGCGUUUGUUAUACUGAACCAUAUAGUAUAUUAGCUAGUUCCAUAUAAAUGUUAUUUGAAAACCCUGAAGUGUAUCAUAAAUUAUUUUUACUCCCACUAAUUUUAAUUCAUGUGUCGUGGUAUAUUCAUCUGAGUGUGUGUAUGCAGAGGAUGAGAUGGCCAAAGUUAUUAUGCAUCUGAGCAUGUGCUGACAUCUGUCAUCAUAUCCGUCUUGCUUGAUUUCUGUUCAAGUGUGGAACCAUGGCAUUUGCAUAGUAAUAAUAAAUCAGUUGCUACGUAUAAUUGUAGCUUGAUGGAAAAUCAAGACAUAUUUGCAUAUUUGUUUUGCGCAUAUUAGGCAGCUCAAAUGUUGCAUGAGUCGCCCCUCAUGUAUGUCUAAGAAAAGGUGCAUAAAAGCAUGGUAAGAUGUAGCCAAGUCCAUAUCGGUGUAUAUGCUAACGUUGCCUAGUCGGAAGAAAGGAACCAAAAUAUAUAUGAGAUACUGUAUUCCAAUGUAGGAUGAUGACGUGAAUAAUAGAGGAACAAACCCCCUUGUACAUGAACACCGCAAUACCAUAACUUGGAAGAAGAAUUUAAGGCUACACAGAGCAUGGAUCCUAAAGCAAAUUGGCUAUGGUCGAUCAAAAUCUCAAGUAAAAUUGCUAUAUGCUUUAUCAGAGUAAGUUCUACACUACCGGCCAUACUCUCCUUUUAGCUUAUGUUUAGUAAAUUGUAAGCAUGCACAUCAUAUUGAAUCAAACUCUGAUGGUCUGAUGUGUAAACAAAUUUAGUCAUUUUUUGCCAUGACAAUAUCAUGUACUCCCUCCGUAAACUAAUAUAAGAGCGUUUAGAUAACUAUUUAGUUAUCUAAACGCUCUUAUAUUAGUUUACGGAGGGAGUAUAAAUCAUUGAAUGAGUAACAUACUGGAUUGCUGGUCGUAUUAUUUCUAGAAAGUUCUUACAACCACUGCUAUUUUCUGUCUACAUCCUUUGAAAUAACAAUGAAGGGACGGGGGAAAGUCCAAAAUAUCAUGGUGAAACGUCUGAACACCGUCAGAAAAACCAAUAACAGGAUCUCUCACCUUAGGAAAUCCCAAAUGCUCGUGAUUACACAUCAGUCAAGAAAAUCCAGAUCAAGUCUUGCUAUGAUGGAAUAGAAUAACAAAACAUGAGUGGGCAUAUAUAGGAACAAAAGAAAGAAAUUCAUUAGGAAAUAGACAAUAUUUUCUAUAUUCUGGUGGUGGAAGAGAGAAUGAGCUCACGGGCUAUUGAUCUUGUCGUGGCCGUGCCGAAAAGCUAGUGAUUGCUGACUCCAUCGUCAGGUCUAGAUGUACCUCACUUAGCAAUGCGGGCUCACAUCAAUUCUCUCCUUGGCAUCCUCACAGCCUUGCUAUCCUUGUGAAGGCGUCUACCUGGAUUCAUAGAAGGCCAGCAAAUGGUUUGGCAAUGGGACUAUGGGAGCCCUACACACAUGACGGGAGCGCCACCACGGGCCCCACUCGGCCGACCCGCCGCCACUUGCUCUGGGGUGGGGAAGGUGACCGGAGGACGCGCCGGCACCGAGCAGGGUUCGCCGCGGCCUUCCCAGACUUAUGCCGAGACACCCGGCGCGCGACCGCAAGUUAAUCGCGGAGAGUAGCCGGUUCCGAUCUCGGCGUGGCGGCAUCCUCCGCGAGGUGCUCUACUUCCCAGUCGGGAGCGCCUACGCUGGGGAAGCUGGAGGCAGGGCGGGGACGGCCACCGGGGGAACUCGUCGCCAGGGAGGGGGCGCCUCUCGCCAUUGCUUACCCUGCCAAAAAAAUAAAUUGCAUGUGCACGCCCAAGCAGUCCAGAGAGAAAUGCAAGACGGGAAGAGCAACUGAAUCGCCGGUGUAGGAAAUCGAUCCGUUUCUGUUGGUAGUGGAAUUUGAUGCAGUUUGGAGAAGAUGAAGAGGAAAGGGUGCUAAGACAUGACGCGCUGCGUUGAGGAAAAACGAUGCGAUGGGGAAUCAUGUGCACAGGUCACAGACGAAAUUCUCCUGAGAAAAAUAAAUAAAUAUUGAUGCUUAUGUGGCGGUGGGUCCUUAGCAAGUAAUAACCGAAGCUUGUGUGGUAAGGGCGUUCUAGUGGUUGGACCCAUAUGUAAGUCAAUAAAAGAAUGAUGACAUGGCUGAUGUGCUUAGGUGGAUAGGCUGCAUGUCAAGAGAAUUAGUUUAGUGGGGAUGAACUAUUUAGGUAUUAUAGAUUAUAGAUUUGCAAGCAGACUCCCCUAGCAGUAGAAGCCACCGGUGCCUCCACCGUUACACCGACUCCGCAUCCCCAUCAUAGGUGUUAGCCACGAAGACCUCCUGAGACGGGUUGUAGCUUCCCGGGCUCUUGGUGUCGAGCCAAAUUUAAGAACCGAGGGUGCAUUUGCCAUGAUAUGCACAAUUAUCUAGAUACACAUACUUUCCUUCUAAAUCCACAUCUGCCAUGAUGUAUAGAGGGUAUUUUCCAUGAUUUCAAAAGACCUUGGCAAAUUCGCUUUACAGAACACGGCAAAUUCACUUUAUGGAUCAUGGCACAUUUUUUUGACAAUGAAAAUUUCUUUCCUCAUCGUCCAUAGCAAAUUCAUCUUAUUGUCCAUGGAAAAUUUACAUUUUUCAAUAAAUUGACAUGUUUCAAAGAACAAAAAUUCCAACACUUGAUUCCUUCUGUGUCCAUGGAAAAUCCAUAAAAAAUCCCAUAUUUUUCAAAAAAAAUCUAACUUAAUGGCCCAUGGAAAAUGUAGUUUACGUCUAUGGGAAAUUCACCUUUUCCGACCAUGCAAAAUUUAUUGUUUGGAACAUGCCAUUUAAAAAAAGAUUAGACCAUCAUAAUUUUGGUUUUCACCAUAAAGUUUUACUAUUUGACCAUGGCAAAGAUUUUCUUUUACAGGCCAUGGACAAAUUUAUUGGUUUCACCCUUGCAGAUUCAUUUUGCUGGUUAGACACUGAUAAAAUUAAUUUUUUAAACCUUGACAGAGUUUAAAAUGAAGGAAAUAUGCCCUAGAGGCAAUAAUAAAGUUAUUAUUUAUUUCCUUAUUUCAUGAUAAAUGUUUAUCAUUCAUGCUAGAAUUGUAUUAACCGGAAACAUGAUACAUGUGUGAAUGCAUAAACAAACAACAUGUCACUAGUAUGCCUCUACUAGACUAGCUUGUUAAUCAAAGAUGGUUAUGUUUCCUGACCAUGAACAAAGAGUUGUUAUUUGAUUAACGAGGUCACAUCAUUAGUAGAAUGAUCUGAUUGACAUGACCCAUUCCAUUAGCUUAGCACACGAUCGUUUAGUAUGUUGCUACUGCUUUUAUCCAUGACUUAUACAUGUUCCUGUAACUAUGAGAUUAUGCAACUCCCGUUUACCGGAGGAACACUUUGGGUGCUACCAAACGUCACAACGUAACUGGGUGAUUAUAAAGGAGUACUACAGGUGUCUCCAAAGGCAGAUGUUGGGUUGGCGUAUUUCGAGAUUAGGUUUUGUCACUCCGAUUGUCGGAGAGGUAUCUCUGGGCCCUCUCGGUAAUGCACAUCACUAAAGCCUUGCAAGCAUUACAACUAAUGAGUUAGUUGUGAGAUGAUGUAUUACGGAACGAGUAAAGAGACUUGCCGGUAACGAGAUUGAACUAGGUAUUGGAUACCGACGAUCGAAUCUCGGGCAAGUAACAUACCGAUGACAAAGGGAACAACGUAUGUUGUUAUGCGGUCUGACCGAUAAAGAUCUUCGUAGAAUAUGUAGGAACCAAUAUGGGCAUCCAGGUCCCGCUGUUGGUUAUUGACCGGAGACGUGUCUCGGUCAUGUCUACAUUGUUCUCGAACCGUAGGGUCCGCACGCUUAAGGUUUCGAUGACAGUUAUUAUGAGUUUAUGUAUUUUGAUGUACCGAAGAAGUUCGGAGUCCCGGAUGUGAUCACGGACAUGACGAGGAGUCUCGAAAUGGUUGAGACAUAAAGAUUGAUAUAUUGGACGGCUAUAUUCGGACACCGGAAAGGUUCCGGAAGUUUCCGGAGAAAACCGGAGUGCCGGAGGGGUUACCGGAACCCCCCGGGGGAAGUUAUGGGCCUUAGUGGGCCAAGAGGGGAGAGAGAGGGGCCGCACCAGGAGGUGGCGCCCCCCCAGGGGAGUCCGAAUAGGACAAGGAGGGGGGGGCGCGGCCCCCCUUUCCCUCUCCCUCUCCCUCUCUUUCCUUCCCCCUUCUCCCUUCCUAGUUGGACUAGGAGAGGGGAGUCCUACUCUAACUAGGAGGAGGACUCCCCCCUCCCUUGGCGCGCCACUAGGGCCGGCCGGCCUCCCCCUUGCUCCUUUAUAUACGGGGGCAGGGGGGCACCCUAGGACACACAAGUUUGAUCUACGGAUCGUUCCUUAGCCGUGUGCGGUGCCCCCUUCCACCAUAUUCCACCUCGGUCAUAUCGUCGCGAAGCUUAGGCGAAGCUCUGCGCCGGUAGAACAUCAAGAUCGUCACCACGCCGUCGUGCUGACGGAACUCUCCCUCGACACUCGGCUGGAUCGGAGUACGAGGGACGUCAUCGAGCUGUACGUGUGUCAAGAACUCGGGGGUGCCGGAGUAACGGCGCCGGGAUCGGUCGGAUCGCGAGGAGAACGUACGACUACUUCCUCUACGUUGUGAUCGCUUCCGCUUCGGGUCUACGAGGGUACGUAGACAACACUCUCCCCUCUCGUUGCUAUGCAUCACCAUGAUCUUGCGUGUGCGUAGGAAAAUUUUGAAAUUACUACGUUCCCCAACAGUGGCAUCCGAGCCUAGGUUUUUAUGGUUUGAUGUUUUGCACGAGUAGAACACAAGUGAGUUGUGGGCGAUACAAGUCAUACUACCUACUAGCAUGUCAUACUUUGGUUCAGCGGUAUUGUGAGAUGAAGCGGCCCAGACCGACAUUACGCGUACGCUUACGCGAGACUGGUUUCACCGCUACGAGCACUCGUUGCUUAAAGGUGACUGGUGGGUGCCUGUCUCUCUCACUUUAGUUGAACCGAGUGUGGCUACGCCCGGUCCUUGAGAAGGUUAAAACGGAGUCUAUUUGACGAAGUAUCGUUGUGGUUUUGAUGCGUAGGUGAGACUGGUUCUUGCUUAAGCCCGUAGCAGCCACGUAAAAUUUGCAACAACAAAGUAGAGGACGUCUAACUUGUUUUUGCAGGGCAUGUUGUGAUGUGAUAUGGUCAAGACGUGAUGCUAUAUUUUUAUUGUAUGAGAUGAUCAUGUUUUGUAACCGAAGUUAUCGGCAACUGGCUGGAGCCAUAUGGUUGUCGCUUUAUUGUAUACAAUGCAAUCGCCCUGUAAUGCUUUACUUUAUCACUAAACGAUAGCGAUAGUCGUAGAAGCAUAAGAUUGGCGAGACGACAACGAUGCUACGAUGGAGAUCAAGGUGUCGCGCCGGUGACGAUGGUGAUCAUGGUGGUGCUGCAGAGAUGGAGAUCACGAAGCACAAGAUGAUGAUGACCAUAUCAUAUCACUUAUAUUGAUUUGCAUGUGAUGUUUAUCCUUUAUGCAUCUUAUCUUGCUUUGAUUGACGGUAGCAUUAUAAGAUGAUCUCUCACUAAAUUAUCAAGAAGUGUUCUCCCCGAGUAUGCACCGUUGCCAAAGUUCGUCGUGCCCAGACACCACGUGAUGAUCGGGUGUGAUAAGCUCUACGUCCAUCUACAACGGGUGCAAGCCAGUUUUGCACACGCAGAAUACUCGGGUUAUACUUGACGAGCCUAGCAUAUGCAGAUAUGGCCUCGGAACACGGAGACCGAAAGGUCGAGCGUGAAUCAUAUAGUAGAUAUGAUCAACAUAAGAUGUUCACCAUUGAAAACUACUCCAUUUCACGUGAUGAUCGGUUAUGGUUUAGUUGAUUUGGAUCACGUGAUCACUUAGAUGACUAGAGAGAUGUCUUUCUAAGUGGGAGUUCUUAAGUAAUAUGAUUAAUUGAACUUAAAUUUAUCAUGAACUUAGUACCUGAUAGUAUCUUGCUUGUUUAUGUUUGAUUGUAGAUAGAUGGCUCGUGCUGUUGUUCCGUUGAAUUUUAAUGCGUUCCUUGAGAAAGCAAAGUUGAAAGAUGAUGGUAGCAAUUACACGGACUGGGUCCGUAACCUGAGGAUUAUCCUCAUUGCUGCACAGAAGAGUUACGUCCUGGAUGCACCGCUGGGUGCCAGGCCUGCUGCUGAUGCAACUGACGACGUUAAGAACGUCUGGCAGAGCAAAGCUGAUGACUACUCUAUAGUUCAGUGUGCCAUGCUUUACGGCUUAGAACCGGGACUUCAACGACGUUUUGAACGUCAUGGAGCAUAUGAGAUGUUCCAGGAGUUGAAGUUAAUAUUCCAACAGAAUGCCCGGAUUGAGAGAUAUGAAGUCUCCAAUAAGUUCUAUAGCUGCAAGAUGGAGGAGAAUAGUUCUGUUAGUGAGCACAUACUCAGAAUGUCUGGGUACUACAAUCACUUGACACAAUUGGGAGUUAAUCUUCCAGAUGAUUGUGUCAUUGACAGAAUUCUUCAAUCACUGCCACCAAGCUACAAAGGCUUCGUGAUGAACUAUAAUAUGCAAGGGUUAGUAAAGACUAUACCUGAGCUCUUCGCAAUGCUAAAGGCUGCGGAGGUAGAAAUCAAGAAGGAGCAUCAAGUGUUGAUGGUCAAUAAGACCACUAGUUUCAAGAAGAAAGGCAAAGGGAAGAAGAAGGGGAACUUCAAGAAGAACAGCAAGCAAGUUGCUGCUCAGGAGAAGAAACCCAAGUCUGGACCUAAGCCUGAAACUGAGUGCUUCUACUGCAAGCAGACUGGUCACUGGAAGCGGAACUGCCCCAAGUAUUUGGCGGAUAAGAAGGAUGGCAAGGUGAACAAAGGUAUAUGUGAUAUACAUGUUAUUGAUGUGUACCUUACUAGAGCUCGCAGUAGCACCUGGGUAUUUGAUACUGGUUCUGUUGCUAAUAUUUGCAACUCGAAACAGGGACUACGGAUUAAGCGAACACUGGCAAAGGACGAGGUGACGAUGCGCGUGGGAAAUGGUUCCAAAGUCGAUGUGAUCGCGGUCGGCACGCUACCUCUACAUCUACCUUCGGGAUUAGUUUUAGACCUAAAUAAUUGUUAUUUGGUGCCUGCGUUGAGCAUGAACAUUAUAUCUGGAUCUUGUUUGAUGCGAGACGGUUAUUCAUUUAAAUCAGAGAAUAAUGGUUGUUCUAUUUAUAUGAGUAAUAUCUUUUAUGGUCAUGCACCCUUGAGGAGUGGUCUAUUUUUGAUGAAUCUCGAUAGUAGUGAUACACAUAUUCAUAAUGUUGAAGCCAAAAGAUGCAGAGUUGAUAAUGAUAGUGCAACUUAUUUGUGGCACUGCCGUUUAGGUCAUAUCGGUGUAAAGCGCAUGAAGAAACUCCGUACUGAUGGACUUUUGGAGUCACUUGAUUAUGAAUCACUUGGCACUUGCGAACCGUGCCUUAUGGGCAAGAUGACUAGAACCCCGUUCUCCGGUACUAUGGAGAGAGCAACAGAUUUGUUGGAAAUCAUACAUAUAGAUGUAUGUGGUCCGAUGAAUGUUGAGGCUCGUGGCGGAUAUCGUUAUUUUCUCACCUUCACAGAUGACUUAAGCAGAUAUGGGUAUAUCUACUUAAUGAAACAUAAGUCUGAAACAUUUGAAAAGUUCAAAGAAUUUCAGAGUGAAGUUGAAAAUCAUCGUAACAAGAAAAUUAAAUUUCUACGAUCUGAUCGUGGAGGUGAAUAUUUGAGUUACGAGUUUGGUCUACAUUUGAAACAAUGCGGAAUAGUUUCGCAACUCACGCCACCCGGAACACCACAGCGUAAUGGUGUGUCCGAACGUCGUAAUCGCACUUUACUAGAUAUGGUGCGAUCUAUGAUGUCUCUUACAGAUUUACCGCUAUCGUUUUGGGGUUAUGCUCUAGAGACGGCCGCAUUCACACUGAAUAGAACACCAUCGAAAUCCGUUGAGACGACACCUUAUGAACUGUGGUUUAGCAAGAAACCAAAGUUGUCGUUUCUUAAAGUUUGGGGAUGCGAUGCUUAUGUGAAAAAGCUUCAACCUGAUAAGCUCGAACCCAAAUCGGAGAAAUGUGUCUUCAUAGGAUACCCAAAGGAGACAGUUGGGUACACCUUCUAUCACAGAUCCGAAGGCAAGACAUUCGUUGCUAAGAAUGGAUCCUUUCUAGAGAAGGAAUUUCUCUCGAAAGAAGUGAGUGGAAGGAAAGUAGAACUUGAUGAGGUAAUAGUACCUUCUCCCUUACUUGAAAGUAGUUCGUCGCAGAAACCGGUUUCUGAGACAUCUACACCAAGUAGUGAGGAAGUUGAUGAUGUUGAUCAUGAAACUUCAGAUCAAGUUACUACAGAACCUCGUAGAUCAACCAGAGUAAGAUCUGCACCAGAGUGGUACGGUAAUCCUGUUCUGGAAAUCAUGCUACUAGAUCAUGAUGAACCUACGAACUAUGAAGAAGCGAUGGUGAGCCCAGAUUCCGCAAAAUGGCUUGAGGCCAUGAAAUCUGAGAUGGGAUCCAUGUAUGAAAACAAAGUAUGGACUUUGGUUGACUUGCCCGAGGGUAGGCAAGCAAUAGAAAACAAGUGGAUCUUCAAGAAGAAGACUGACGCUGACGGUAAUGUUACUGUCUACAAAGCUCGACUUGUCGCAAAGGGUUUUCGACAAGUUCAAGGGAUUGACUACGAUGAGACCUUCUCACCCGUAGCGAUGCUUAAGUCUGUCCGAAUCAUGUUAGCAAUUGCCGCAUUUUAUGAUUAUGAAAUUUGGCAAAUGGAUGUAAAGACUGCAUUCCUGAAUGGAUUUCUGGAAGAAGAGUUGUAUAUGAUGCAACCAGAAGGUUUUGUCGAUCCAAAAGGAGCUAACAAAGUAUGCAAGCUCCAGCGAUCCAUCUAUGGACUGGUGCAAGCAUCUCGGAGUUGGAAUAAACGCUUUGAUAGUGUGAUCAAAGCAUUUGGGUUUGUACAGACUUUUGGAGAAGCCUGUAUUUACAAGAAAGUGAGUGGGAGCUCUAUAGCAUUUCUGAUAUUAUAUGUAGAUGACAUAUUGCUGAUCGGAAAUGAUAUAGAAUUUCUGGAUAGCAUAAAGGGAUACUUGAAUAAGAGUUUUUCAAUGAAAGACCUCGGUGAAGCUGCUUACAUAUUGGGCAUUAAGAUCUAUAGAGAUAGAUCAAGACGCUUAAUUGGACUUUCACAAAGCACAUACCUUGACAAAAUUUUGAAGAAGUUCAAAAUGGAUCAAGCAAAGAAAGGGUUCUUGCCUGUGUUACAAGGUGUGAAGUUGAGUAAGACUCAAUGCCCGACCACUGCAGAAGAUAGAGAGAAAAUGAAAGAUGUUCCCUAUGCUUCAGCCAUAGGCUCUAUCAUGUAUGCAAUGUUGUGUACCAGACCUGAUGUGUGCCUUGCUAUAAGUUUAGCAGGGAGGUACCAAAGUAAUCCAGGAGUGGAUCACUGGACAGCGGUCAAGAACAUCCUGAAAUACCUGAAAAGGACUAAGGAUAUGUUUCUCGUAUAUGGAGGUGACAAAGAGCUCAUCGUAAACGGUUACGUUGAUGCAAGCUUUGACACUGAUCCGGACGAUUCUAAAUCGUAGACCGGAUACGUAUUUACACUAAACGGAGGAGCUGUCAGUUGGUGCAGUUCUAAACAAAGCGUCGUAGCGGGAUCUACAUGUGAAGCGGAGUACAUAGCAGCUUCGGAAGCAGCUAAUGAAGGAGUCUGGAUGAAGGAGUUCAUAUCCGAUCUAGGUGUCAUACCUAGUGCAUCGGGUCCAAUGAAAAUCUUCUGUGACAAUACUGGAGCAAUUGCCUUAGCGAAGGAAUCCAGAUUUCACAAGAGGACCAAGCACAUCAAGAGACGCUUCAAUUCCAUCCGGGACUUAGUCCAGGUGGGAGACAUAGAGAUUUGCAAGAUACAUACGGAUCUGAAUGUUGCAGACCCGUUGACUAAGCCUCUUCCACGAGCAAAACAUGAUCAGCACCAAGACUCCAUGGGUGUUAGAAUCAUUACUAUGUAAUCUAGAUUAUUGACUCUAGUGCACGUGGGAGACUGAAGGAAAUAUGCCCUAGAGGCAAUAAUAAAGUUAUUAUUUAUUUCCUUAUUUCAUGAUAAAUGUUUAUCAUUAAUGCUAGAAUUGUAUUAACCAGAAACAUGAUACAUGUGUGAAUGCAUAAACAAACAACAUGUCACUAGUAUGCCUCUACUAGACUAGCUUGUUAAUCAAAGAUGGUUAUGUUUCCUGACCAUGAACAAAGAGUUGUUAUUUGAUUAACGAGGUCACAUCAUUAGUAGAAUGAUCUGAUUGACAUGACCCAUUCCAUUAGCUUAGCACACGAUCGUUUAGUAUGUUGCUACUGCUUUUAUCCAUGACUUAUACAUGUUCCUGUAACUAUGAGAUUAUGCAACUCCCGUUUACCGGAGGAACACUUUGGGUGCUACCAAACGUCACAACGUAACUAGGUGAUUAUAAAGGAGUACUACAGGUGUCUCCAAAGGCAGAUGUUGGGUUGGCGUAUUUCGAGAUUAGGUUUUGUCACUCCGAUUGUCGGAGAGGUAUCUCUGGGCCCUCUCGGUAAUGCACAUCACUAAAGCCUUGCAAGCAUUACAACUAAUGAGUUAGUUGUGAGAUGAUGUAUUACGGAACGAGUAAAGAGACUUGCCGGUAACGAGAUUGAACUAGGUAUUGGAUACCGACGAUCGAAUCUCGGGGAAGUUAUGGGCCUUAGUGGGCCAAGAGGGGAGAGAGAGGGGCCGCACCAGGAGGUGGCGCCCCCCCCCCCCAGGGGAGUCCGAAUAGGACAAGGAGGGGGGGGGCGCGGCCCCCCUUUCCCUCUCCCUCUCCCUCUCUUUCCUUCCCCCUUCUCCCUUCCUAGUUGGACUAGGAGAGGGGAGUCCUACUCCAACUAGGAGGAGGACUCCCCCCUCCCUUGGCGCGCCACUAGGGCCGGCCGGCCUCCCCCUUGCUCCUUUAUAUACGGGGGCAGGGGGGCACCCUAGGACACACAAGUUUGAUCUACGGAUCGUUCCUUAGCCGUGUGCGGUGCCCCCUUCCACCAUAUUCCACCUCGGUCAUAUCGUCGCGAAGCUUAGGCGAAGCUCUGCGCCGGUAGAACAUCAAGAUCGUCACCACGCCGUCGUGCUGACGGAACUCUCCCUCGACACUCGGCUGGAUCGGAGUACGAGGGACGUCAUCGAGUUGUACGUGUGUCAAGAACUCGGGGGUGCCGGAGUAACGGCGCCGGGAUCGGUCGGAUCGCGAGGAGAACGUACGACUACUUCCUCUACGUUGUGAUCGCUUCCGCUCCGGGUCUACGAGGGUACGUAGACAACACUCUCCCCUCUCGUUGCUAUGCAUCACCAUGAUCUUGCGUGUGCGUAGGAAAAUUUUAAAAUUACUACGUUCCCCAACAUAAAAAACCUGGAUGAUGGCAAAUUCAUACUUCAGAUCAUGGUAGAAUUUUAUUUUUGGGCAUGACAAAUUUACUUUUUAUCCAAGGCAUUUUUUCCAAGCCAUGGGCAAACUCAUUAUUUGGAUCAUGGCAAAUUCAUACUUUUGUCCAUGGCAAAUUAUAUAUUUUUGGAACAUGGCAAAUUCAUACUUUUGUCCAUGGCAAAUUAUAUAUUUUUGGAACAUGGCAAACUUUAUUAAUUUAAUUAUGCCAAACUAAUUGCUUUGUACCAUGGCAAAUUUGUUUUGUUUACAUCAAGGAAACUUUCAUCUCAUACGCCAUCUAAAAUUAUGUUUAUAUAUUGGUUUUUAACUCUUUUCGGAAACAUGUCAAAAUGUUAUUGAAUUGAGCAUGUUAGAUUUUUUUCAGCAUAGCAUGCCAUUUUUUUCUUGACAUGGCAGAAAAAAAUCAUUGGACUUUUUCACAAAUUUUCUUUUCAAUUCUUUUUUAUCUUCUACUUUAUAUAAAACAUGGGCAUCUAUAUGUUGAAAACUUUUUUUUUGGCCAAGUUUUCUUCUUUAUAUUUAAAUUCUGUCAUUUUUUAGUGUCAUAAAUAGUAUGGAUCCAUUUUUUCAACUUGAUGACAUUUUGGAUACGCCCCCCCCACCCCCCUCCAGUGAAUGAUUAGUUUGAUGCAAGCUUCUUUAAAUCUGUUGUUCGGGCGAUAUUGGGGUCCAAGAUCUGAUGGUUGUGCUUCUUGGUUUAAUGAGAGUCUAACAGAUUAAUGGAAAAAUGUUUUAUGAUAUGUGUGGGAUUUUCUAGCAUAUAUUUUCCUAUUUUAACUCAUAUUGGCGAACCAACCUGUGGUUGGAUGGUUAGAGGGACAAUGGUAUCCCCAUCCCACCAGGGUUCGAGUCCUGGUGGAUUUAUUUCAGGAUUUCCGGCGAUGCGCUUUCAAUGGGAGGAGACAUUCCCGUCGACGACGAGGUCCCUACGGUGACUUCAUAAAUCUCAAGAUGAUAUGCCGGCUCAGUAUCUCGAAGAUGCUUAUAGGGGUAGGGUGUGCAUGUGUGCCUUCAUAGGGGUGACUGUAUGCGCGUAUGUAUAAGCACUUGCGUCUGUACCGUGUUAAAAAAAAGCUCAUAUUGUGCUUUUAGUAAUAGAUAGAAUAGAUUGCUAGAUAGACGGAGGCAUACGUGGAGAGAGGCGAUCCAUCCUCUUGUCUGCCUAUUGUAUGGCUGGUAGGUCGUGCUUGUCCACUUGUACUUGUCCCAUUUAUUUGUACCCUGAGAAUUAGAUCGAUCAGCGUGAUUUCAACGCUCGGUCCCGACCGACCUUGGACGAGAUCCAGAUUUAUGGAGGCGGUGACGGCACGCAGGCCCGCCGACGUUAACUACUCCCGUCCCGUGCCUAGUUGCAUGCGACGUCGAUGGGGCUGGCCUAGGGACGUGCACGUCCCACGUUAGCCAACGCGGUCAAACAGAUCAGACUAGCUAGGAAACAACACACACACACCUGACCUAGGCCCGAACGUGUGCACAUACUGGCCAUGCAAUGCUAGCAGCCUAGGAAACCACACACGCUUAAGAUUUGCACGCCCCACGUCCCGAACCCCCUACGCUCCAAACAUCCCUGCUCUCCUCUCAUCACAUCUGAGUAAUAAUAAUAAUAGUAGUAGUACUAGCAGCAGCAGCAGUAAACCGAGGAGAAAGAAGAAUAUACUUAGGGCCUGCUUGGAUGCAAGGGACUAUUUUUAGUCUGACUAAAAAUAGUCUCUUUUAGAGACUAAAGUUUCAAGCACCCCUGACUAAAGAGAGGCUAGAAUUAGUCUUGAGGCUAAAACUUUUUAGUCACAUGAAACCUACUAAAAUAUGUAUUAGCCCUCUCUCCUCAUUUAAUUCCUCUCCUUUAGCACAUGCGAGUUCUGGAUUGGAUGGUUUGAAGGAUAAUAAAUGCUCAAUAACUUCAUUUUAGUCUCUUUAGUACUUGAUCCAAGCAUGGGUGAGGCUAGCAAGUUUUAGUCUCACUACUUUUAGUCAUUGACUAAAACGUAUCCAGACACCCUUACUAAAGCUAAAUAAACAGACAGCGCAGUAGAUGCACACAGUUUUGGCGUCAGGCGCACUGACAGAAGUACUGUUUUACAGGCCAAUAGAGUAAACGCUGGGGACUGAUGGGCCAACCGCAGGACAGAUCCUGGAUGCAUCUCGUCCCGUCUCGUCGUCAUCCAUCCUAGCCAUAGUACGUGUUCAACUGCCUGCCGCGCUGCCCCGUCCGGCCGGCGGGCGCACUGACAGAGACAAAGCUACCGGCAGUGCGACGACGGGGGAAAUCUCACGUGCCGACGUGCCAGCGCCCACGCCGCACGUGCCGCUGGUGGAGCCACAGGGGCCGACUCGUCCUCGCAUCGCGCGCCCCCGCCUACAAAUUAAAGACGCUUUGCUUGCCCACCGAUAGGCGACACCACUGAUCCGCAUCUUAACCAGAUCCUCUCCAGGGCUAGAUUCCAAGCUACGUGCAUAGCAUAGUUGUCUCACUGAGCUAACCAGGGGCGACCUGCAGCGCCUUCAAUCCUUCAUCAAUGGAGAAGAGCGGGGAGGAGAGCAAGGCCCCGCUGCUGGAGCCCUGCAGGCCGGCGGCGGCAGAGCACAAUGCGACCGGCGGGCUGGGGCGGCGGCUGGUGGGGGAGAACCGGAGGCUGUGGGCGGUGGCGGGGCCGUCCAUCUGCACGCGUUUCUCCACCUUCGGGAUCGCCGUCAUCAGCCAGGCCUUCAUCGGCCACAUCGGCCCCACCCAGCUCGCCGCCUUCGCCCUCGUCUCCACCGUCCUCAUGCGCUUCAGCAACGGCAUACUGGUAUCUAUCUCUCCUUCCUUCCAUCAAUCCGUCUGCCAAACAUCUUAUUACCGUAUUGUAGUAAAAAAUAUGGCAUUGCUUGGUUAAUUGUGUCUGCCUGCUUCAGUCUGUUUUUGCCAGUUCCAUCAUAGUACGUAUAACAUAAAUAAACAGGAGCAUGCAUAAUACUCCCUCCGUUUGGAAUUACUUGUCAUCAAAAUGGAUGAAAAUGGAUGUAUCUAGAACUAAAAUAUAUCUAGAUACAUCCAUUUUAAUGACAAGUAUUUCCUGACGGAGGGAGUAAUUAAGAACACUGUUCCUCUUUUCUCUUAUUGGUAAAAAAUAGAGAGUAUAAGUAGCGUGCUUUCAUACGGACGAUCAUGAUACAAACAUGAUAGAGAAAUACAUACGCCAACUGCAUCCUGACCCUUGAUCCCAACAACCACAAAAAAACGUGUCGUGGUCCAUCUUUGGCACAACAAAAGUACAGAUUCUUGUCGACUUGAGAGGAAAAGUUAUAGUUCUUGACUUGUUGUCGUCUGUGUGCUUUCAACUUUUUAAGUCACCGUCAAUGUCAAAAAUGGAACAACCUUUGGAUUAUUCUUUGAGCGAAAACAACCCCAUUGGAUAAUAGUCAUCAUGGGCCUGCAUUUCCCGAGAGAACGUGGCAUGUUAACUUUUCCUACAAACCCCACACUAAUUGCAAGGAAUAUUUGGACGCGUAGUUCAUACAUUUAAUAAUUUUUGUAAAUUAGAAUUUAUUCAUGAAAUUUUAAAGAUGUUAAAAAUACAAAAAAUAAUCAUGAAGUAAUUUUUUCAUGAACUUAAAAGUCUUUUAUGAAUUUCAAAGAAUAUUCGUAUUUUUGUAGAAAAUCCAUAAAUAGAAAACAAAGAAGAGAAGAGAAAUUAAAAAAGAGAAGAAAAAAGGAAUAGGAAAAUGAAAAUAGAAAUAAAAAGCCGACAGAAAAUUAGUAAAACCAACAAGGGAAAACACAUGAAGCAAGAAACAAAAAUCCGCCGAACCUUCCGAAGCUUCCGAAAACCAGAAAACCCUCUCUUACUUGGACAGUUGGACUUGCCCAUUGCAGUGACUCGGCACGCUACUGGUGUUGGGUCCCAGUGUCCCACUCACCAAAUGUUUUUUAGCAGGUCCCACCCANNNNNNNNNNNNNNNNNNNNNNNNNNNNNNNNNNNNNNNNNNNNNNNNNNNNNNNNNNNNNNNNNNNNNNNNNNNNNNNNNNNNNNNNNNNNNNNNNNNNNNNNNNNNNNNNNNNNNNNNNNNNNNNNNNNNNNNNNNNNNNNNNNNNNNNNNNNNNNNNNNNNNNNNNNNNNNNNNNNNNNNNNNNNNNNNNNNNNNNNNNNNNNNNNNNNNNNNNNNNNNNNNNNNNNNNNNNNNNNNNNNNNNNNNNNNNNNNNNNNNNNNNNNNNNNNNNNNNNNNNNNNNNNNNNNNNNNNNNNNNNNNNNNNNNNNNNNNNNNNNNNNNNNNNNNNNNNNNNNNNNNNNNNNNNNNNNNNNNNNNNNNNNNNNNNNNNNNNNNNNNCUACUCAUUAGUUAUUCUGCCAUAUGUCCAGUAAAAACAGGCUAAACCUCAUAGUUUUGCCCCUCCUUAGCUCAUUGCCCCUCCAAAGAUUUUUCCCAAGCUCCGCCACUGGUCCCACGCACCAAUUUUUUUUUGGGAAUUACCUACCAAAUGGGAAAUGCGUUGGUGGACGUGUAGGAAUUUUUUUUUGGCACAAAUGGGCAGCCCAGAAAAGCCCAUGAGGCCAGUGGCCGACCACAACACUUCCAGUCCUCUCCUCCCUCCACCCGCACCGCGUUCGCCACGCCGUCGCCGCUGUCUCCACCAGCACCGCCUCCCCAUUCCAGCCGCCGUCGCCGCCAUGUUUCUGGAAGAGGCCACCGUCGGGAAACGCCGGGGACCGAGCCGAUCCUUGCAGUGCGAGGGCGCCUCCUCUACUAUAUCUCCAAUCCUGCCGAUACUCUCUUCAGCUCCGGCGGCGGCUUCGUCGGCUUUGACGGCAGACGCAGCCGGGGACGGUGUAGGAGGCCUUCGGCAGCAAACUAACGGUAUCUNNNNNNNNNNNNNNNNNNNNNNNNNNNNNNNNNNNNNNNNNNNNNNNNNNNNNNNNNNNNNNNNNNNNNNNNNNNNNNNNNNNNNNNNNNNNNNNNNNNNNNNNNNNNNNNNNNNNNNNNNNNNNNNNNNNNNNNNNNNNNNNNNNNNNNNNNNNNNNNNNNNNNNNNNNNNNNNNNNNNNNNNNNNNNNNNNNNNNNNNNNNNNNNNNNNNNNNNNNNNNNNNNNNNNNNNNNNNNNNNNNNNNNNNNNNNNNNNNNNNNNNNNNNNNNNNNNNNNNNNNNNNNNNNNNNNNNNNNNNNNNNNNNNNNNNNNNNNNNNNNNNNNNNNNNNNNNNNNNNNNNNNNNNNNNNNNNNNNNNNNNNNNNNNNNNNNNNNNNNNNNNNNNNNNNNNNNNNNNNNNNNNNNNNNNNNNNNNNNNNNNNNNNNNNNNNNNNNNNNNNNNNNNNNNNNNNNNNNNNNNNNNNNNNNNNNNNNNNNNNNNNNNNNNNNNNNNNNNNNNNNNNNNNNNNNNNNNNNNNNNNNNNNNNNNNNNNNNNNNNNNNNNNNNNNNNNNNNNNNNNUGCAGCAACUUGGUAACUGAAUGAUGUCGAGCAAGGUUCAGAGUUCAGACACCUCAUUGCAUGCCAUUCCCUAUUAGAGCUUGGUAGUUGCUAACCCUACGAUGAACAUUAUUGAGCAACAUAGAGUUAGAUGACCUCUGAAUCCUUGAUCCUUAAUUCCUUAUCGACCUACUAGCUUCGCCAUUCUCCAUUAACUGAUCACCCUCGAUAUAGCAACAUGUCCACUUACAUCCUGAACUUCAGAGAUUUCACUGCACCAGAAAUAAAUUUCUUGAGAUGAGAAAGAAAAGGAGCUGAUGAUCUUAAUAACUACUUCCUCCGUUCCUAAAUAUUUGUCUUUUUAGAGAUUUCAAAUGGACUACCACAUACUGAUGUAUAUAGACAUAUUUUAGAGUGUAGAUUCACUCAUUUUGCUUUGUAUGUAGUCACUUGUUGAAAUCUCUAGAAAGACAAAUAUUUAGGAAUGGAGGGAGUAAUAAAAUGUGCUUAAACUGAAUGCAGCUGGGCAUGGCGAGCGCACUGGAGACGCUGUGCGGGCAGUCAUACGGGGCGAAGCAGUACCACAUGAUGGGGAUCUCCCUGCAGCGCUCCUGGAUCAUCCUGACCGGCUGCGCCGUGCUCAUGCUCCCCAUCUUCGUCUUCACCGAGCCUCUCCUCGUCUUCAUCGGCCAGGACCCGGCCAUCAGCGCCGUCGCCGGGACCAUCUCGCUCUGGUACAUCCCCGUCAUGUUCGCGUGCGUCUUCAGCUUCACGCUGCAGAUGUACCUGCAAGCGCAGAGCAAGAACAUGAUCAUCACCUACCUCGCGUUUGUCUCCCUCGGCGUCCAUCUCUUCCUGUCCUGGCUCUUGACCGUUCGGCUGGACCUUGGACUCGACGGGAUCCUGACCUCCAUGGUCAUCGCCAUGUGGAUUCCUGUGUUUGGGCAGCUCAUCUUCGUCUUCGGCGGUGGCUGCCCUCUCACAUGGACCGGGUUCUCCUGUGUGGCACUCACGGACCUCGUUCCUGUCCUCAAGCUCUCGCUAUCCUCUGGUGUGAUGCUCUGGUAUGAACAAACUUGAAUUUUCACUGUAUAUGCAGUAUCAGCCCUUUUCAGAAUUUUGGAUGCAUCUAGCCUAGCAAUAAUGCUUGUUUGUUCCUGUUUGCAUUUUCAGUUUGGAAUUGUGGUACAACACCAUAUUGGUGCUCCUAACCGGGUACAUGAGGAAUGCAGAGGUUGCACUCGACGCUCUUUCAAUAUGGUAAUACACACGUACUACUUUAUAUAAUUCAGAGUUCAGUCUCUCAUUGUAUAUCUUUGGUUUUUCCACACUGGCCAGAUCGGUAACUAGCACAUAUGUCAUUUCACUGUUUCGUAUUGUUUCGCUGUCGUGACACAUGAGAAACUAAUUAAUUAAUGUGAUUUUCUAUCUCUGAAAUCUGCAGCCUGAAUAUCAACGGUUGGGAGAUGAUGAUUUCUAUUGGCUUUUUGUCUGCAAUAGGGUAGCUUCUCGAUCUUAGAACUCGCUAUAUAUUAUUCCUAUCAUGUGAUUGAAUAAUUUUUCAGAUUUUUGAUGAUAAUGAUUUUGUGUGUGAUAGAGUGCGUGUUGCAAAUGAGCUUGGAGCUGGAAGUGCAAGAAGGGCCAAGUUCGCCAUCAUAAAUGUCGUCGCCACUUCCUUCUCAAUAGGCCUUGUGUUCUUCAUAUUUUUCCUUUUCUUCCGCGGAAAGCUUUCCUACAUAUUUACCACCAGUGAAGAGGUAGCUGCCGCAGUUGCAAGCCUGUCGCCUCUUCUAGCCUUCUCCAUCUUGUUGAACAGUGUGCAACCAGUGCUAUCAGGUUUGCUUUAGCAUUUGACUGAAUUCUAAAUGCAUAUACAUUACAAUCAUUUCGUCUGGUAACUUUUUUGAAAAAAAGGAAAAAUGUUUGCCUUCUAUACUGAUACAAGACUCUUUUGGUAUACUGAAACUAUAAUCCCGUUUGAUCACCCUCCAGGUGUUGCUAUCGGUGCGGGUUGGCAAAGUAUAGUUGCCUAUGUUAACAUCACAACAUAUUACUUGAUUGGUAUCCCUGUUGGAGCAAUCCUUGGUUAUGUUUUUGGAUAUCAUGUGAAGGUAAGAACAUUAUGUAUCAGUCAAUCAGUUACUAAAAUAAUUAUCCUUGUGCCUCUUGGCUCUAAUAAGUUGUGUCCUAACUCGAUAUCCUUGGUUGUUGCUAUAGGGCGUUUGGGUUGGCAUGCUGCUCGGAACACUGAUCCAAACAAUUGUACUUGUGUUCAUAACAAUCAGGACUGACUGGGAUAAACAGGUUAGCUUUGCUAAUUGUUCGAUCAUUAUUGUACUCAAACGUUGUUAAGUAAAGUCUUCAUAUGUGUAACUUAUUGCGCAGAAAUUCAUAAGUAUAUAUUGUGUGCUAGACUAGAAGGGUGUAGGAGAUAUACUCAAUUAUGGUUUCUAUUCCUUCUGAUUUUUCAGGUAGAGGUUACUCAGGAGAGAUUGAAGAGAUGGUACAUCACGGACGGAAACAAAGGGAAGCCAGAUUCAGGGGGAAGUCCAUGAGACUAAGAAUCUGGCACAUGUAGUGAAUCGCCAUCAGAUAGAGGAACUUGUGUGUCCGGCUUGAUCAGAGUUUGUGGCGCUUCAGAGGAUAACUACAAUUCUUUCAACAUGUCAAGAAUGAACGGAUCGAACAUUAGUAGGCGUAGGCGUGUUGAAGGUUGUUCCUCAAGAUCGAGCAAACGAUGACAGUGAUUCAGGCUCCAUUUUAGAGAAGGAAAAACAUGUUACUCAAGGGACACAUGAAUGGAUCCACCACUGCCUCAGCAUGUAAAAUAUGCCUUGGACUGCUGUGAGGUAGCUGGUGGCACGAGUGUUGUUGCAUGUUGAAAGAUUUUGGCUGUGAUUAGCAAACAUGGUGCUUGUAUAUCGACUGCAUUCGCUUGGCCUUGUCAUCUUGUGUCUUGUUGUGAUCAUCAAACAAUCAGUUUGGUGUAGAUUCUAUCGGUUUAAUUACAAGUCGACAUGAAACUUGUCGCGGUUUAUACAAUAUAGAGGGGAAUGUGAUAGUAGCAAUUGUAUUACUAGCUAGUAGAAGCCUAGAACAGAAAAACAGAGACCGAAAGGCAGGUUGAGCACACCAAUUACAGGGAUCUAUUAUAUGCAGCAAGCCAAUGAAUUAGUACAUGCGCGCAUAGUCCUCUGGCACUUGCUAGCAGCCACCGGCGCCACCACCAGCACAGCCACCGGUACUGCCAGCGCCGCCGCCGCCGUCGUCACAGCCACCGGCGCUGCUAGCCGCGGCAGCAGAAGCAAACAUGGCGCUAGACAUGAAUGAAGCAGGGUCGCUCGCUGGAUUUCCCGCGGACCAAGGCGCGUGUCUCGCUCCCCCGCCGCGUUCCUUCCCGGAGCAGAGGGUGCGGAGGAGGACGGCGAGCAGCAUGACCGCGGCCACGGCGACGAACGCCCCGAUUAUCGUGCCAGCGCCGGGACCGCUCCCGCCGGCGCUGAGGUCGGCCAGAGCCCUUCUUCGCAUCGUGAACGCUUGCAUGCACGCAGCUGGACCCGGACGUGCCGGACGGGCAGAGCUGCCGGACUAUAUGUAGUAGCGUCAUACUAGCUUAGAUCGAGUCAUGCAUGGGGUUACCGUUGAAUUUUCACUCGGAGAAAAACGAUCAAACACGUUGAAAGAAUUAACAUGAGGCUAGCUCUUCGUGCUUGCGUACGUCUUUGCUUCAUGAAAGGUUCUUCGCCGUGUUGAAUGUUGAACGCUGAGUUAUUGCGGUAUGCGCGGCUGACUUGUUGGUUCCAUUUCCACUACUUGAACAGACACAAAAUACAUUGGUAUACUCUGGAAAGGGGAGAAAGUGGUAGCUCCGAGAGGGUGGCCACGGUCAACAUUCAACAAUAUAUGAUUUUCUUUUGCGCGGCAUCAGACUAUAGACACUUUUCAUCCAUCAGACUAGUGGAAGGCCGUCCGAAUCAUAAUUAGGCCCACAGGAGAUUUGUUGACUUGUUUGCUAAUUGAUUGCUUCCUUCCUUAAUUAAAUGCUUCCUUCAUACAACUCCCUCUAUCCCGCUGCGCUGAUCUCUCUAUUACGGUUUACUAGAUGAUACCCCGCGCGUUGCUGCGGGAAUAGUAGUUCAUUUGAUGUGGAGUUUGGCCUGAGUGUUAUUCACAUUACAUGACUCCAGAGGAAAAAAGGCCCAAGGGGGCAUAUUGUUUACUUCAAUGUAAUAUAUCAUUAAACAAAACUAACAAAUUCCAGUGAUCCAUUCCAUCACGAGUGCAUUGCAAUGGAACAAAUAAGGUAGUAAUAAUUAUAAGUGGGGCCAAAAGGAAGAAACCAAAGAGUCCCCUAUCCAGCUUUCUUGUAUUGAUGUGUAACAAAGGAAGGAUGGAAUCAAUCUAAAUAAACACCUUCAAUUUUAUUUGUAGCAUUUCUAUCAACAGUACACGCCUUUAAGGUUUGCAAAUAAGAUGGUUUUGCUUUGAGGACAUGCCAACAAUGGACGGGAAAACAUAAGUAAAAGAGAUGUGUGAAAGCACAAUCUUUUUAUUACUGGAUAAUAUUUAAAAAUUGAUAGUUAGGAAAAUAUGAAGAAAAAAAGGCAGGCCUUUUUUAUAUAAAGGAAGGACCCGAAAGCCGGCUCCAUUGUCUACGGUGGCACAGUUGCAAACUCAGCAAGGGACCCUCUCGUGAAGAAACCAAGGUUGUUACCUUUACACAUAGAGGACUUACAGCCAUGCUAGAAGCACUCUCCUGAAAACACUGAAAAUAUUAUAAGAUCUGCAAGGAGUAUAGCUCUUAUAGAUUAAUUCAUCCGGAAAUGCAACGGUUGUCAAUCCAGUAAGUAUGGCACCACCAAAUUUCCACAAAGUAGACUAAGAAAAUGACUUCCAAUCAAGUGUUAGCUUAAGACAAAAAUGCGGAAACCAUACAUGCUUCAUAGUUUAAUUAUUCGGUAACACUUAUGGUCUUCAUCAUUGUACAGUUUUCAGCAGUCCCAGUAGUGUUUAAGGACUAUGACCUGAAAAUCACCUUUAAACAAAUAAGUAAUUCAGGGAGAAAAGUACAAGCAUUGGAAGAAAAGUUAGUAUAUACAUAUGCCAUCCAUACAUUUUGAUAGAGCUCGCGUUAGACAGGCAUCUGAAAGGAUUUUUUUUCAUAUAUUCUAAUAAAAGCAGCAACUACAUGAAACAAAAGCAACUGAGCUAUAACAGAAUUUCAUGCCAAAAUUCACUAAAGCAAUUUUUUUUGCGAGAAGGGUAUGAUUUUAUUCCUCUGAAAUAGGGUUACAGUCCGCUAAAACAAAAUUAGAAACAUUGUCUGAAACACAGUGCAAGCAAAAAGCGGUGCGACCUCCAGAUCUACUAAUAUUAGCUAAAUUAUGAGCAACACUAUGCCUCCCUGUUACUUUUUGUGCUGCAAUAGGAAAAGCUAGAUAAGUUUAAGAAAUUAAUUAGGCUGUACAUUACAGGAAAAAAAUCAGUAGCGAGCCAACACCUCUAGUACCACUUCCUCUUGAUAAAUGAUUUUCAUGAAAUUUACCAAAUCAAAAAACAACACAGCGCUAAAAUAUGAGUAAGCCAGGAAGCCUACACAGCACUCUUUCUUGUUACAACAUCAUUCUGUUGGAUUUUGCACGCAUAUAUCUCAGUUCUGAUCCAGCACCUACAUGGCCAAAAUACAGAUGUGAAAAUCUCACCAGCAACCUGCUGGAAUUUAGUCUAUAUUGGGGCAGCCCAAUAAUUAUUUCAGAAAUUCCUAAUAAAUCCUAGAGGCCCACUUAGCCCAUUUGUGCAAGGCAAGGGAUACUACUAAAGUUUAGUCCCACAUUGCUAGUUUAGAGGGAGUUGGACCUCUUUAUAAGGGAGGCUCCUUCCCCACUUGUAUGAGCAUGAGAACAAGAGGGACAUCCACGCGCGCUCCUCCUCCGCCGCCCGCCGCGCCGCGCCGCGCCGCGCCUCGCCUCGCCUCGCCUCGCCUCGCCUCGCCGCGGGAAUGAGCCGAGCAUGGGGUUGCGAACAUGGGGUUGUUUGGCGAAAGUCAAUGUUCCAAUUCCAAAGAAGCGGAAACUUGGACCAAAGACUGUGGAUUGUGUUUUCUUGGGAUAUGCUUUUCAUAGCAUUGGCUAUAGAUUCUUGGUUGUAAAAUCUGAGGUACCGGACAUGCACGUUGGUACGAUCAUGGAGUCGAAUGAUGCGACUUUCUUUGAAGAUAUCUUUCCCAUGAAGGAUAUGACUACCUCGUCUAAUCAGAAGAUGCCUAGUUCAUCGAAUCAGGAACCAGUUACAAUUACCGAACUGUAACGUCCUCGAUGCGGCUAUAUCUCCCACGUGUCGAAGCACGACUUAGAGGCAUAACCGCAUUGAAAGCAAUGUCGCAAGUGAGGUAAUCUUCACACAACCCAUGUAAUACAUAAGGGAAAGAGAUACAUAGUUGGCUUACAAUCGCCACUUCACACAAUUACAUGAAUAAAGCAUUACAUCAUACAGAUACAAUCAAGGUCCGACUACGGAACCAAAAUAAAAGAAGAACCCCAAAUGCGACAAAAGGUCCCCGAUCGACCCCAACUGGGCUCCACUACUAAUCAACUAGAACGAAACAACACAAAGGGGCAAGAUCUUCAUCGAGCUCCUCCUUGAGCUUGAUUGCGUCACCUGCUCGGUAACAUAGGUACCUGCAAACUGGUUUUGGAAGUAUCUGGUGAGCCACGAGGACUCAGCAAUCCCAUUACCAUGGGUAUCAAGACUAGCAAAGCUUAAAGGGAAAGGAAGGGGUAAAGUGGUGAGGUUGCAGCAGCGACUAAGCAAAUAUGGUGGCUAACCAACGCAAAUAAGAGCGAGAAGAGAACAAGCGGAACGGUCGUGAAGCUAGCAAUGAUCAAGAGGUGAUCCUGAACACCUACUUACGUCAGACAUAACACAGAAACCGUGUUCACUUCCCGGACUCCGCCGAGAAGAGACCAUCACGGUUACACACUCGGUUGAUGCGUUUUAAUUCGGAUCAAGUGUCAAGUUGUCUACAACCGGACAUUAACAAAUUCCCAUCUGCCACAUAACCGCGGGCACGGCUCUCGAAAGUUUAAAACCCUGCAGGGGUGUCCCAACUUAGCCCAUGACAAGCUCUCGCGAUCAUCGAAGGAAUAGACCUUCACCCAGGAAGACCCGAUCAGUCUCGGAAUCCCGGUACAUCAAGACAUUUCGACAAUGGUAAAACAAGACCAGAAAAGCCGUCCGAUGCGCCGACAAUCCCGAUAGGAGCUGCACAUAUCUCGUUCUCAGGGCAACACCGGAUGAGACAUCCUACGAGUAAAACCAAACCUCGAGUUGCCCCGAGGGGGCCCCGCAGUCUACUCGGUUCGAACCAGCACUUAGACAAGCACUGGCCCGGGGGGGCUGAAAUAAAGAUGACCCUCGAGAGAGCGACUCCCAAGGGAAAAAGAUAGGUGGUGGUGAGGCAAAUGGUAAAAGUCAAUGUUGGGCCUUGCUGGACAAGUUUUAUUCAAAGCGAACUGUCAAGGGGGUCCCAUAAAUCACCCGACCGCGUAAGGGACGCAAAAUCCGGGACAUAACACCGGUAUGACGGAAACUAGGGCGGCAAGAGUGGAACAAAACACCAGGCAUAAGGCCGAGCCUUCCACCCUUUACCAAGUAUAUAGAUGCAUUAAUAAUAUAAGAGAUAUUGUGAUAUCCCAACAUAAACCUGUCCACCAUGGAGAAAUCUUCAACUUCACCUGCAACUAGCAACGCUAUAAGAGGGGCUGAGCAAAGCGGUAACAUAGCCAAACAACGGUUUGCAUAGGAAAGGUGUCAAAGGUUAGGGGUUCAUGGCAAUAUGGGAUGGCUGGACAAACAGGUAAUAGGUAGCACAGCAUAGCGAAAGAACGAGGCAACUAGCAUAGCAAUGAUAGUAGUGAGAUCCAGGGUAGCGGUCAUCUUGCCUGAAAUCCCGCAAGGAAGAAGAACGAGUCCAUGAAGAAGAUGAACGGAUGAAGCCGAACCAAACGUAGACGAACGAAUCCUCACGAACGCAACGAAACAGGAACUAACAAGAAGAAGCACACAACAUAGGUAAACACACCACACAUGAACAAGACAUGAUGCACAACAAGCAUGAUGCAUGACCAAGCUACAUGAAGCUACUCAUGGCAAGAGAUGAUGCAAACAAGAACAACACAUCAAGGCAAGUUUAAAUGAGGCCGGGAACAACAUAUAACAAUUCCGGUAAGUCCUCAUAUGCAAAUUUCAAAAUGGGUCCAGAACUGAAUAAACAUUAUGUUCAAGUUGUUAAACAGCAAGUUAAGAUGCAGCAAGAUGAUCUACACGAAAUUCUAGUCAAGUUACAUAUAAAGUUCAUUAGAUUUGGAGCUACGGGCUAGAAAAUAUGAGCAAAACAAGUUAAACAUGGCAUUGAUGCAAAAUGCACCCACACAUCCAGCAAACAUCUCAAAACAAGGAUGCAACAUGAUAAUAUGAAGCUACAUGCAAAAUCAAGCAAGUUUCAUAUAGAGCACACUCAAAACGGAGCAACGAUGCAACACAUGCACACUAUACAAGUCAUAGCAAUAAUCUGUCCAAAACAACUUCUAGGCAUCUUACAAGCAUCAAAACAAUAUGCUACAGCACCCCAACAUAAUAACAAAAGACAUGGGCACGAAGUACACGUAAAGCAUAACAAAACAUGAACACUGAGCUAUCUCCAGAAACAACUAGAAAAUGCUCAAAACGACAUGGAGAUAUUGCAAGUAAUAACAAUUUCAGACUUUAGCAGAAAUAACAUCAGGUUGCAAUGUUUAGAGCUAUCAAACAACAUGUUACAGGAACUUAUCAUGGCAAACAAAGGCAUGGUAUGAAACUACUAAUAGCAUAUAUCAAAAGACCCUUACUGACCAUAAGCCAAAAAGGCAUCUAAGAAAUGAUGGCACCCAUGUAAACAUAGCAAGUUUUAUUACAGAUUUGAACAUGGCAGAAACAACGAUUAGUAGGCAUGUUCGUGAGCUCGAACCGCUCACUACAGAGCAAUACAUGGCAUGGCAAGGCAACCAACAGUAAGAAGGCAUGUUUAUGAAACUAAGCAUGGCAAGAGCAAGGUCAUAUCAUACACGGAUCAACUACAACGACCUUGUGAAAAUUGAAUCUCAUGCAAACAAUCUGCCAGAAAACAUUUUCAAGCAACUUUGGAGCAAGAAAUGAACAUGUUCCAGCAGGCUAUAAAUGCAACCAAUAGCAUGAAUGGAUAGAGCAUGACAUAUAUAUCAAAACAUGUUUAUAGAGCACCUCCAGAUUAUGCAUAGAUUGAUUAGUGGAAGCAUGUUAACAUAGCAACAAAAUAUAACAGAAUCUGCCAGGAAAACAACAACAGCAACUACCCUACUUUACAAGCUCGAUGCACUCAGCACACAACUCACAAAAAUACAAGGUCAACACCUAUGGAAAGAUGGCAUGUCCUAGUCCAACAUUCAUGUAGAGCUCAUACUCAUAGGAUGCACACAUAAAUCAUGGCAAAAAUGACAAAAGAGCUCGAGCUGAUAAGAUUCUGGAACUAACGAUCUGAAGCCCUCUUCCAACAGCAUUUCGGGCAUCAAGAUGAGCUCAAAUGCAAAUGAUGCAAUGGAAUGAAAUGAUGUACUCGUUGAGACGAACAAUUUGACAUAUUAUACGCGCAAAACGGAGCUACGGACGCGGAGAUGUGAUGCAAUGAAAAUGGCAUGAAAAUUACAGAAACUGAGGACUUAGUCAUUUUUGGAAAAAAAACGGACGAGCGUCAAAUAGCUACGAGGCGCCCAGAGCGGGGAUUAGGGGGCUGCUCACCCUGGGCUCAGCCCACGAAGAGGAAGCAGGCCGGGGUGGAGGCUUGGCGGGCUGGAAGGGAGCUGGGCCCUCCUGGCGCGACUGGGCCGCGGCGCGGCUGCGGCUGGGGAGGCCCACGCGGGAGGCAGGGAGGCGACGAGCGGUGGACGGCGUGGCGCGGCGGCGCGAGGNNNNNNNNNNNNNNNNNNNNNNNNNNNNNNNNNNNNNNNNNNNNNNNNNNNNNNNNNNNNNNNNNNNNNNNNNNNNNNNNNNNNNNNNNNNNNNNNNNNNNNNNNNNNNNNNNNNNNNNNNNNNNNNNNNNNNNNNNNNNNNNNNNNNNNNNNNNNNNNNNNNNNNNNNNNNNNNNNNNNNNNNNNNNNNNNNNNNNNNNNNNNNNNNNNNNNNNNNNNNNNNNNNNNNNNNNNNNNNNNNNNNNNNNNNNNNNNNNNNNNNNNNNNNNNNNNNNNNNNNNNNNNNNNNNNNNNNNNNNNNNNNNNNNNNNNNNNNNNNNNNNNNNNNNNNNNNNNNNNNNNNNNNNNNNNNNNNNNNNNNNNNNNNNNNNNNNNNNNNNNNNNNNNNNNNNNNNNNNNNNNNNNNNNNNNNNNNNNNNNNNNNNNNNNNNNNNNNNNNNNNNNNNNNNNNNNNNNNNNNNNNNNNNNNNNNNNNNNNNNNNNNNNNNNNNNNNNNNNNNNNNNNNNNNNNNNNNNNNNNNNNNNNNNNNNNNNNNNNNNNNNNNNNNNNNNNNNNNNNNNNNNNNNNNNNNNNNNNNNNNNNNNNNNNNNNNNNNNNNNNNNNNNNNNNNNNNNNNNNNNNNNNNNNNNNNNNNNNNNNNNNNNNNNNNNNNNNNNNNNNNNNNNNNNNNNNNNNNNNNNNNNNNNNNNNNNNNNNNNNNNNNNNNNNNNNNNNNNNNNNNNNNNNNNNNNNNNNNNNNNNNNNNNNNNNNNNNNNNNNNNNNNNNNNNNNNNNNNNNNNNNNNNNNNNNNNNNAGGAGAUGGGCUUGGGGGGGCCCGAUCCGGGCCUCGCCGGGCCGGCGGCACGGGCGGCGGCGGGAGACACGUGGCGCGACGCCAGUGGCUGCGGGGGCGGCGGCGAUUUCGUCCGGUGGCGGCGGACGUGUCCGGUGGCGGCGGAGGGAGUUUGCUAGGGUUUGAUCCGCAAAAAUGGAUGGGGAGGACGUUUUUAUAGGCAUAGGGAGCUAGGAGUGUCCAAAUGAGGUGGGGUUUUCGGCCACGCGAUCGUGAUCGAACGACCGAGAGCAUGGAGGGGAGUUUGGUGGGUUUUGGGCCACUUUGGAGGGGUGUUGGGCUGCAACUCAAAGAGGGCUUUACGGUUACCCGGUUAACCGUUGGAGUACCAAACGACCUCCAAAUGGCACGAAACUUGACAGGCGGUCUACCGGUGCUAUACCAAGGCCGCUUGGCAAACCUCGGGCCAUUCCGAGAAAGUUUAAUACCCGCACACGAAAAGAGAGACGAGGGGACGCCGGGGAACAUAGGAGCGCCGGAUUGCAAAACGGACAACGGGGAAAAUGCUCGGAUGCAUGAGACGAACACGUAUGCAAAAUGAAAUGCACAUGAUGACAUGAUAUGAAAUGCAUAUGAUGACAUGGCAAAUGCAACACGCAAGCAAAUGACAUGGCAACGAAGGCGAAUAACUGACGGACACCUGGCGCAUCGGAUCCGGGGUGUUACACGAACCUGCCAUUUCGAUGGAACGCUUUGAAAGUCCCGUGGAGGAGAACAAUGAAGUUCCUAUUAGGAGCAAGAGACAGAGGACUGCAAAGUCCUUUGGUGAUGAUUUUCUUGUGUAUCUCAUAGAUGACACUCCCAGUUCCAUUUCAGAGGCCUAUGCAUCUGAAGAUGCUGACUACUGGAAGGAAGCAGUUCGUAGAGAGAUGGAUUCUAUCUUGGCGAAUGAAACUUGGGAGAUAACUGAUCGUCCUUAUGGGUGCAAACGUAUAGGAUGCAAAUGGGUAUUCAAGAAGAAGCUUAGGCCUGAUGGUACUAUUGAAAAGUACAAGGCUCGGCUCGUGGCUAAGGGUUAUACCCAAAAGGAAGGUGAAGACUUCUUUGAUACUUACUCACCUGUGGCUCGACUGACCACUAUUCGAGUCCUACUUUCACUAGCUGCCUCACAUGGUCUUCUCGUUCAUCAAAUGGAUGUUAAGACUGCUUUCCUAAAUGGAGAGUUGGAUGAGGAAAUUUAUAUGGAACAACCAGAUGGGUUUGUAAUAGAUGGUCAGGAAGGGAAAGUGUGCAAGUUGCUGAAGUCUUUGUAUGGACUCAAGCAAGCACCCAAACAGUGGCAUGAGAAGUUCGAAAGAACUUUAACAGCCGCAGGCUUUGUUGUAAAUGAAGCUGACAAAUGUGUGUACUAUCGCCAUGGUGGGGGCGAGGGAGUUAUGCUUUGCUUGUAUGUUGAUGACAUACUGAUUUUCGGAACAAAUCUGAAUGUUAUUAAGGAGGUUAAGGAUUUCCUAUCUCGUUGUUUUGAGAUGAAGGAUUUAGGAGUGGCUGAUGUCAUUCUGAACAUCAAGUUGUUGAGAGACGAUGAUGGUGGGAUUACAUUGCUUCAAUCUCACUAUGUGGAAAAGAUCUUGAGUCGCUUUGGCUAUAGUGACUGCAAGCCCUCUCCAACACCAUAUGAUGCUAGCGUGCUGCUUCGAAAGAAUCGAAGAAUUGCUAGAGAUCAAUUGAAGUAUUCUCAGAUUAUUGGCUCGCUUAUGUACUUAGCCAGUGCUACAAGACCUGACAUCUCUUUUGCUGUUAGCAAGCUGAGCCGGUUUGUCUCAAAACCGGGAGAUGUGCAUUGGAAAGCUCUAGAGAGAGUUUUGCGUUAUUUGAAAGGCACUGUAAAUUAUGGAAUUCACUACACUGGGCACCCAAAGGUGCUUGAAGGGUAUAGUGACUCAAACUGGAUCUCAGAUGCUGAUGAGAUAAAGGCCACGAGCGGAUAUGUGUUCACUCAUGGAGGUGGCGCUCUUUCUUGGAAGUCUUGCAAGCAGACUAUCUUAACGAGGUCAACUAUGGAAGCAGAGCUCACAGCACUAGAUACAGCUACGGUCGAAGCAGAUUGGCUUCGCCGGCUCUUGAAUGACUUGCCGGUUGUUGAGAAACCUGUACCGGGUGUCCUUAUGAACUGCGACAAUCAAACUGUAAUCACAAAAGUGAGCAGCUCAAAGGAUAACAUGAAGUCAUCAAGACACGUUCAGAGAAGGUUAAAGUCUGUCAGGAAAAUGAAAAACUCCGGAGUUAUUGCGUUGGAUUAUAUCCAAACGUCUAAAAAUCUGGCAGAUCCUUUCACUAAGGGUCUAUCGCGUAAUGUGAUAGAUAAUGCAUCGAGGGAGAUGGGUAUGAGACCCACAAUAUGAGUUGUUCACAGUGGUAACCUAUUCUUUGUGAUAGGAGAUCCCGUGAAUUAGAUGUGGAAGACAAGCUGUGGGUCAACUGAGAAGAGAGUAUUCCUACUAUUCCCAAUACCACUCCAUGAAGAUGCAAUACUCUCCUAAUCUGCAUGGCAGGUUGAUGUAUAUCUUAAUGUGUUCUAAGUGGCUCUUUGAAGCAGAGAUGUUGUCCUGCAGAACAUCUUUUGAAGAACACACCUAUAUGAGUCUGAUUGUCAAACGUCGCAAUCUAUGAGAGUAGGGUUCUCUCUGGUAAACUCAUGAAAGGUCACGGAGUAUGACGCAUAAGCUCCACCCGCGGGGAAGACCCACGGUAGCCACGUAUCGGUCAAGGCUUUAUGUGAAGCUAGAUUCGCAGAAAACUUGCAGUUCAAGGCCCAGUCCACUGUUCAAGUUGCUUACUAGUGUAGCAUAGAGUUCUAGGUGGAAGUUCAACUUAACAGUCUCCACUGCAGUACCGGUAUAUAAAACAGUGUUUUGGAACCAAAGGCAAAUUCUGUAUGCCUCUGGGAUCUGGUGGGGGAUUGCUGGAAUUUAGUCUAUAUUGGGGCAGCCCAAUAAUUAUUUCAGAAAUUCCUAAUAAAUCCUAGAGGCCCACUUAGCCCAUUUGUGCAAGGCAAGGGAUACUACUAAAGUUUAGUCCCACAUUGCUAGUUUAGAGGGAGUUGGACCUCUUUAUAAGGGAGGCUCCUUCCCCACUUGUAUGAGCAUGAGAACAAGAGGGACAUCUGUCGUGGUUCUAAGUCUGACAGUAGAAAUGGGGGUAGGUAAGGGGAGGCGAUGUCCUAGCUAUGGAGUAGUUGUGAAGACAAGUGAUGUACGAGUUCAGGCCCUUCUCGGAGGAAGUAACAGCCCUACGUCUCGGAGCCCUGAGGCGGUCGAGUGGAUUAUGGAUAUGAGUAUUACAAGAAUGCGAACCCCUCUACCUGUGGAGGAGGGUGGCUUAUAUAGAGUGCGCCAGGACCCCAGCCAGCCCACGUAUUGGAGAGGUUAAAGUACAUUAAGUCUGGGGCGUUACUGGUAACGCCCCUCAUAAAGUGUCUUAACUAUCAUUAAGUCUAUUCAAUAGUAAGCCGUUGUGCUGCGGAGUGUCUUCUGACCUUCUGGUGGUCGAGUGAGUCUUCAUGGUCGAGUGAGUCUUCCAUGGUCGAGUCCUUCCAGUCAGUCGAGUGGGUUCCUCUUUGGUCGACUGGAAGAUGAUCUCUUCUGAGAGUGUCCUUGGGUAGGACGUUUAGGUCAGGCCUAUGACCCUACCCUAGGUAUAUGAAUCCAUCAUUAGCCCCCGAAUGGAUUGAGGCUUGAGUGAAGGAGGAGUUGACGUUGUUUCCGAUUGUCUUUUGCGUACCGGCUACGUGUUGUCUUGGAUCAAGAUCUUCUCUGUUGAUAACAAGCAACUUUUCUUCAGUCGACUUGAUCCAUUCUUGUUCUUUGGUCGAGUGACCUUCUUUUACUUUGUUAUUCCCGAGCGACGGAUCCCAGGAAAUCUCGCGCUUGACAGACCGAUCUGUCCCUCGCGGAUCUCGCGGGAUACGAAAUUUGGGGAAGCGCGCGAAGCGGAACGGACUGCGGCGUUCGGAUGGGACAUAACAGGAACGCCUCGAUUUCCGCGCCGCUUUUUCCGCCACGUAUCGUGCAGCGCAACUGUUCGGGAUAUGAUUGGAUUGUUCGGGUCCACCUGUCAUCCACUCGGAAGGGAUGCUAUAAAUGCAACUCGCAGGGGCUUCUGCACAGUACCCUGUUCUUCUUCCUCCGCUCUCUUCGCCUCCGCUCUCCGCAACUGCUGCUGCUCCUGCUACCUCCUCUCCUGCGCAUUCCGCCGGCCACCAUGGGCAAAGAGAAGACGGCGGUGUUGGAGCGCGCGAAGAAGGCGUCGGCGGCGGAGAAGGCGUCGGCGGCUGAGAAGGCGAAGGGGAGAUCUACCGGCCGCGGCGGUUCCUCGUCGAGAUCCAACUUGCCGAAGGGCUGGGUCCAGGGAGAUUGGAUCCAGUCGACCAUCAGGGAGAAGGAUCUCCUCGACAUGGCCAACGACGGGUUGAUCCCCCACGGUGCCGCGAGGCUUCCUGGCCGAGAGUGGCAGCCUCAGCCAGAAGAGGGUGAGUGCGUGCUUCUGGCCACCCAUGUCGACCGAGGUUUUUCGCUGCCGCCGCGUGUCUUCUUUCGGGGUUUUCUGAAUUUCUUCGGAGCCCAGCUCCACCAUUUUACUCCAAACUCCAUCGCAUAUCUUGCUGCGUUUGUGUCUAUGUGCGAAAACUUCCUGGGCUGUCGACCGCACUGGGGUUUGUUCAAGUACAUCUUCACAUGUCGCUCUCAGACUGUGAAGAAGGCAAGCCCUGGUGACGAGAAGACCCAAGUAGUUCAGAUGUGUGGUGGCUUAGGGGUCCAGUUGAGGAAUAAAAGCACCUUCCCAGCUAUGUCUUUUCCCGAGUCGGUCAGGGGCUGGCAGUCGACCUGGUUCUAUUGCCGGAAUGAGACGACGCCGGGGCAGUCGACUGGUCUUCCUGCAUUCACCAUGAGUCGAGUGAACAGACCCUCCUCCCUGAAGGUAGUUCCAGAGGAGAGAACUGAGGUGAAGAUGUUGAUGGACCGCGUGGUGCAGCUGGUUCGGGAUGGCGUGACUGGCAUGGACCUCUUGGAGGUUUUUCUUUGGAGGCGAAUCCAGCCUCUUCAGUUCCGGAGCCACUGCAUGUGGCUGUACUGCGGCACCGAAGACGAGACUCGCGUCCACCCGGAGGCAGUCGACGAUGCCAUAGUGGAAAGAUGGAUGGCUGCGAUCACUGGAAACAAGGACAACCCUCGCGGAUCCCGGAGGAUUUCCCCACUUGACCACAACAGCGUUCCAGAAAAGGUACAUUUGCUCUGUUUUCCAUUGUAUCUUCGUCGAAUGUGUUUCUGUGAUUUGGUCGACUGAGUUCCGUUUUGAUGUUUCCAGGCCCUUACCGAGCUAUACUCGAUGCCCAAUGGCGCUCAAACUCCGACUGAGGAGGGGGAAGCCAGCGGGGGCGAGAGCCAGGAAGAGUGGGAUUCAGACGCUGCAGAAGAUGACGAUGACGACGAUGAUGAUGACGAGGAUGAUGACGACGAGGACGAAGAGGAGGAGGAGGCACCGCCGCGCUCGGAAAGGCGGUCAAAACUUGUGCACGACCCUUCGACUGAACGCGGCAAGGGAGUGGCGACUGCCUCACAGUCGAUCAAACGCCCUCGGACCGCUUCUCCGGUGCCGAAUGAGAAGGCGCCGAAACAGUCGAAAGUGGCUCCGUCGAGGACGACCAAGCCUCUGCCAAAAAUGAAGGUAGCCAUCCCCACCAUUUCAGCGGCUGCGACUUCCGAAACCUCAGGCAAGGCUGAGGACCAUGAGAUGGAGGACGCGGCGACUUCAAAUCCCGGUACUGCAACUUUAAAUCUUGUUCUUGGUCGACUGAUGCAUAAUUUUUGACUUUGACUUUUUCCUGAAGCUCCAACCAAUGACAUUAUCACCCUUCCCGACGACGAUGAUGAGGAUGAGGAACCAUUGAGGGCUAGGCGGAGCAGGAAGGCAUCUACUGGCCAUGCAGCCCAAGGUGUGGUGGCGCCCGAGACCAUUGCGACGGAAGGGGAGGUCGGCACUCGACACACCGUGUCAUUCGCGGUGCCGUUGACGAGUGCACGACCCACUUCGUCGAGUGCUGGGCAGCCAUCGAUCUUCGCCACGCACCACGUCCCGGAGGACCGGGCUAGUGCUGCUAAGGAGGCUAUCCGUCAAGCAGAGAUCAUGAUGGAGCAGGUGAAGAUCGUUCGGGAUGCGAGCCAAGCAGCUUACGACGCCAGCUCCGCCCUUCAGAGCAAUGUUCAGGUCAGUCGACCACUGCCUGUUCUGUUAGGAUAUAUUAUCAAAACUUUUCUUUCUGGAAUUCAUAGCAGUCACCCACUGGGUGUGUUGGUAAAAACUCCGUGUUAGCGGGGGCACGCUGAGUGCACCCGCUGGGUGUAGUCCCCAAGGCUAAGGUCGACUGCUGGCAGUCGGUCUUAGGCUUACUAAGUAGAUAUUGAUCAUCACUCGAAUGGAACGAAUGGGUUUCUGAGAUCAGUGGGGGCACGCUGAGUGCACCCACUGGGUGUAGUCCCCGAGACUGUGGUCGACUACUGGCAGUUGAUUACAGUCUGAAGAAGUUUCGGUCGACUGGUCGACUCGCUCUCUCUUUUUUUUUUGGUCGACUGGUCGACUCUGUCUUGAAUAAGACCAGUGGGGGCACGCUGAGUGCACCCACUAGGUGUAGUCCCCGAGAUUACGGUCGAAUGCUUGCAUUCGACUGUAAUCUUAGAAACGCAUCAUUUUUCUUUAUUCACUCGGAAGUGGAUUAUCUCUGAUAUUUUUGCAAUUGACUCUUCGUAGAAAUCCUGCGAUCUUGCGGCGCGCUAUACUGAACUGGAGCAGAAGCAUAUUCAGCUCGAGUUGGACUUGAAGCUAGUGCAGGAGAAUCUGACGAAGGCAAAGGAGGAGACCAAAGGUAUGUUUGGUGAGAUUUCGACGACUCUUUUCUCCCCUCAUUUGCUUCAAACCUGACUUUGCUGUAAUUUACAGGCAAGGUGAAGGAGGCCCAGAGGAAGAAGGAGCUUGAGCUGUCUGAGAAGAUCAAGCUCGCUGAUGAAAAACUGGCCUCAGUCACCAAGCUCGAACAGGACAACACCAAUCUGAAGGCUGCUCUGGCCAUUGCCAGCAAGGAUGUUGAACGACUGAAGGCUGACAAGACUACUCUGACUGAGAAGAUCAACCAGAUGGCUGGGAAGAAGAACGAGCUGGAAGGCUUCUUGGGUGGUCUUGCUAAAAAAUUGUUCCUUAUGCUUGAAGGUAAUCUUCUUCACUCGACCAAUUCUCCCAACUGUUAUGUUCCCAUUCGACUGUUUUCUUAAUUCAGGAUUUUGUCUUUGCAGAGUUCUGUCGCAACUUUGAAGAAGAAACCAGCCAGCUGGAGACGAACCUUGACCCUGUCAAUUCUCCGGUGAAUGAUGAAACUGCCAUGAACAUCUUCCGACUGGAGUCCCGUAUUGCUGCCGUCGUGGAUUAUCUUGCAAGACUGAAGGUUGCUACAUCCCGCAUCGACUCGACGCUCUGGCCCAGGGAAACACUCCGAAAUGACCUCGAGUCGUUGGUGACUCGACUGAACGCUGUCCCUGACCGAGUGCAAGAGUGGAAGAAGUCUUCAGCUCGAUGUGGCGCGGAUGUCGCCCUGUGUCUGGCACGAGUCCAUUGCAAGGAUGCUCGAGAGGAUAAGCUGGCGGCUCUCCGAGUGGCCAACACCAAAAAGCACGACUUCAGGGCCUUCAUGGAGACUUUCAUUGCUGCUGCUACGCGGAUUGCAGACGGGAUUGACCUUGACGAGUUCGUUGCUCCAUCCAGCCCUCCACAGGAGGGGUAAAAAACUUUCCUUGACCUUAAAUUUGCCUCGGUAUGCCGAGUGGAGUUGUAACCGAUAAAACCUUAACAGGCUUAGCGCCAGAGCACUCUCGGUUCCUUUAGGUAUCGACCUAAAUUUGGAUUGGAUGUUUUGGAUAUGAUUGCUUUUGGCUUGAAUUGCUUCUUUGCAGGUUAACAGCAAGAUGCCCACUGCAGUCGACUUAUUCCUUAGGCGAGCACUGGGCUGCAGCUAAGCCCCCAAGUGAGAGGUUUGCUCUUCACUCGGUAGGAUUUUUUUUACCUUAGGCGAGCACUGGGCUGCAGCUAAGCCCCCGAGUGAGAGGUUUGCUCUUCACUCGGUAGGAUUUUGUUUUACCUUAGGCGAGCACUGGGCUGCAGCUAAGCCCCCGAGUGAGAGGUUUGCUCUUCACUCGGUAGGUUUUCUUUUACCUUAGGCGAGCACUGGGCUGCAGCUAAGCCCCCGAGUGAGAGGUUUGCUCUUCACUCGGUAGGAUUUCUUUUACCUUAGGCGAGCACUGGGCUGCAGCUAAGCCCCCGAGUGAGAGGUUUGCUCUUCACUCGGUAGGAUUUCUUUUACCUUAGGCGAGCACUGGGCUGCAGCUAAGCCCCCGAGUGAGAGGUUUGCUCUUCACUCGGUAGGAUUUCUUUUACCUUAGGCGAGCACUGGGCUGCAGCUAAGCCCCCGAGUGAGAGGUUUGCUCUUCACUCGGUAGGAUUUCUUUUACCUUAGGCGAGCACUGGGCUGCAGCUAAGCCCCCGAGUGAGAGGUUUGUUCUUCACUCGGUAGGAUUUCCAUUGUAUUUGUGACGAAGCUCGGAGGAGAGGGUCGCAGUCGACCUGCACCUCGUCUUCCUUGCGAACGCACAUCAUACUUAUGGUGUAGCUCGGAGGAGAGGGUCGCAGUCGACCUGCCCCUCGUCCUCCUUGCGGGUACGCAUGCUACAAUGGUGUAGUUCGGAGGAGAGGAUCGCAGUCGACCUGCACCUCGUCUUCCUUGCGGGUACACAUUAUACUUAGGCGAGUCCUUGGACUGCAGCUAAGCCUCCGAGUGGGAGUCUGGCUUACCACUCGGUAGGAUUUUUAAUAACUUAGGCGAGCACUGAGCUGCAGCUAAGCCUCCGAGUGGAAGUCUGGCUUACCACUCGGUAGGAUUUCUUAUAUCUUAGGCGAGUACUGGACUGCAGCUAAGCCUCCGAGUGGAAGUCUGGCUUACCACUCGGUAGGACUUCUUAUAUCUUAGGCGAGUACUGGACUGCAGCUAAGCCUCCGAGUGGAAGUCUGGCUUACCACUCGGUAGGAUUUCUUAUAUCUUAGGCGAGUACUGGACUGCAGCUAAGCCUCCGAGUGAAAGUCUGGCUUACCACUCGGUAGGACUUCUUAUAUCUUAGGCGAGUACUGGACUGCAGCUAAGCCUCCGAGUGGAAGUCUGGCUUACCACUCGGUAGGAUUUCUUAUAUCUUAGGCGAGUACUGGACUGCAGCUAAGCCUCCGAGUGGAAGUCUGGCUUACCACUCGGUAGGAUUUUUUGUUACUUAGGCGAAACGGAUUCACAGCUAAGCCUCCGAGUGGAAGUCUGGCUUACCACUCGGUAGGAUUUGUACAAACUUAGGCGAAACGGAUUCGCGACUAAGCCACCCACUGGGGGAAAAUUUUGCUGGACCAAAAAAUAAAAAGUGAUGAAAAUUAUGAAGGAAUUAUUACACUAUUAUUUCAAAGCCCAUGAACUACAGAAGUAUUUUAUUACAACUCUUCCGAGUGAAGAACUUUAAGUGUAAAACGGGCGGAGCAGAUCCGCGUUCCAAGCUCGGGGCUCUUCGAUAUUGUGUUCGACGUUAUAGAGACGAUACGCCCCAUUGUGGAGAAUCUUUGUGACGAUGAAGGGCCCUUCCCAGGAAGGGGCGAGCUUAUGUUGCUUCUGCUGAUCCACUCGAAGGACCAGAUCUCCUUCCUGGAAGGCUCGACCUCUCACAUUUCUGGCGUACAGGCGACGCAAGUCUUGCUGGUAAAUGGUCGAGCGGAUCAGAGCCAUUUCCCUUUCCUCUUCUAGGAGGUCGACUGCAUCCUGACGCGCUUGCUCAGCUUCUGCUUCAUUGUAAAGUUCAAUUCGGGGAGCAUUGUGAAGGAGAUCACUCGGUAAGACUGCUUCUGCUCCAUAGACCAAGAAGAAAGGAGUUCUCCCAGUCGACCGAUUAGGCGUGGUCCGCAAACCCCAAAGCACUGAAGGAAGUUCGUCGACCCAAGCUCCAGCCGCAUGCUUGAGAUCUCGCAUCAAUCGGGGCUUCAGACCCUUGAGGAUUAAUCCGUUGGCUCGUUCUGCCUGUCCGUUCGACUGUGGAUGAGCGACUGAAGCGUAGUCGACUCGUGUGCCUUGGGAGUUGCAGAAAUCCUUGAAUUCUUCCGAGUCAAAAUUCGACCCAUUGUCUGUGAUAAUACUGUGCGGGACUCCAUAUCUGAAUGUCAACCCUCUGACAAAGGAAACAGCAGUACCAGCAUCAAGUUUUUUGAUUGGUUUAGCUUCAAUCCACUUGGUGAACUUGUCGACUACCACCAGUACAUGUGUGAAACCGCUCCGACCUGUUCGCAAGGGACCGAUCAUGUCCAACCCCCAUACUGCGAAAGGCCAGACGAGUGGAAUGGUCUUCAAGGCUGACGCAGGCUUGUGUGACAUAUUGGAGUAGAACUGGCAUCCUUCGCACUUGUCCACUAUUUCUUUCGCCAUCUCAUUUGCUCUUGGCCAGUAAAAUCCGGCUCGGUAUGCUUUGGCUACAAUGGUCCGAGAGGACGCAUGGUGACCACAGGUCCCCGAGUGGAUGUCAUUGAGUAUGACUCGACCUUCUUCUGGCGUUAUGCAUUUUUGUCCGACUCCCGUCGGGCUUUCUCUAUACAACUGCCCAUUGAUAACGGUAAAGGCUUUGGAUCGACGGACGACCUGCCGAGCCUCUUCGUCAUCUUCUGGGAGUUCCUUUCUCAGAAUAUACGCGAUGUAUGGAAUCGUCCAAUCGGGAGUGACCACUAACACUUCCAUGACUAAGUCGACCACUGCUGGGACCUCAACCUCAGUCGAGUCUGUGGCACUCUUGGGUUGUGGAGCUUCCUCUGUGAAGGGAUCUUCUUUAACUGACAGAGUGUGUAUAUGUUCCAAAAACACACCACUCGGAAUGGCUUCUCUUUUGGACCCUAUCUUCGCCAGAUCAUCUGCUGCUUGAUUUUUCAAUCGAGGGAUGUGAUGGAGUUCCAACCCCUCGAACUUCUUUUCCAGCUUCCUCACUGCAUUGCAGUAUCCAGUCAUAGCUGGGCUUCUCACGUCCCACUCUUUCAUCACUUGAUUGACCACUAGAUCUGAGUCGCCAUAGACCAUCAGGCGACGGACGCCGAGUGAGAUGGCCAUGCGCAAUCCAUAUAAGAGGGCCUCGUACUCUGCCUCAUUGUUGGAGGAAUCAAAGUGAAUCUGGAGCACAUACCUAAGCUUAUCUCCUCUGGGGGAAACUAGAACAACCCCAGCACCAGAACCAUUCAGCAUCUUGGAGCCGUCGAAGAACAUGGUCCAAUGCUCCGAGUGAACUUCAGUCGGUUGCUGUUGUUCAAUCCACUCGGCAAGGAAAUCCGCUAUAGCCUGGGACUUAAUGGCUUUCUUUGCCUCGAAUUUGAUAUCAAGGGGAAGAAGUUCAAUCGCCCAUUUUGCCACUCGACCGGUUGCGUCUCUGUUGUGCAGGAUCUCUGAUAAAGGAGCGUCGCUGACGACUGUGAUAGAAUGAUCAGAGAAAUAGUGAGCAACCUUCUUUGUGGUCAUGUAUAUACCAUACACAAGCUUCUGAUAAUGAGGAUAUCUCUGCUUGGAUGGAGUCAAGACUUCAGACAGAUAAUACACCGGGCGCUGAACUUUGAAGGCCUUUCCUUCCUCUUCCCGCUCGACCGUAAGCACAGUACUGACAACUUGUCCAGUGGCUGCGAUGUAAAGCAACAGAGGCUCCUUGCUGAUUGGAGCAGCAAGCACCGGCUGGGUGGAGAGCAGAGCUUUUAGCUCGGCAAACGCUGCGUCAGCUUCUGGAGUCCACUCGAAUUUGUCUGCCUUCUUCAUCAGUUGGUAAAGAGGUAAUGCCUUUUCACCGAGUCGUGAGAUGAAUCGACUUAAAGCGGCCAAGCAUCCAGUAAGCUUCUGGACGUCGUGCACUCGCACAGGGCGUUUCAUUCGGAGAAUGGUGCCGAUCUUCUCUGGGUUAGCGUCGAUCCCUCGUUCGGAAACGAGAAAACCGAGUAAUUUUCCACCAGGAACUCCGAAUGUGCACUUUGACGGAUUGAGCUUGAUAUCGUACCUUCUGAGGUUGGCAAAUGUUUCGGCGAGGUCAGCAAGCAGGUCGGAACCUUUUCGCGACUUAACGACGAUAUCAUCCAUAUACGCUUCCACAUUCCGACUGAUUUGAGUGAGAAGACACUUCUGAAUCAUUCGCAUAAAUGUGGCUCCGGCAUUCUUGAGGCCGAAUGGCAUGGUGAUAUAGCAGAAGCACCCGAAUGGAGUGAUGAAAGCUGUUUUUAUUUCAUCGGGUCCAUACAGACGGAUCUGAUGAUACCCGGAAUAUGCAUCUAGAAAAGACAAUCUCUCACACCCCGCGGUCGAGUCAACAAUUUGAUCUAUGCGGGGGAGAGGAAAAUGAUCCUUCGGGCAGGCCCGAUUGAUGUGCUUAAAAUCAAUGCACAUGCGGAGUGAGUUGUCCUUCUUGGGAAUCAUGACGACAUUAGCGAGCCACUCGGAGUGGUAUAUCUCCCGAAUAAAUCCUGCCGUCAACAGUCGAGCCACUUCUUCACCAAUAGCCUUUCUCUUCUGGACGGCGGACCGCCGAAGAUGCUCUUUGACUGGCUUCGCUGACUUGUCGACUCGGAGGCGAUGCUCAGCCAGUUCCCUGGGAACACCUGGCAUGUCAGCUGGCUUCCAUGCGAAAAUGUCCCAGUUCUCACGGAGGAACUGGAUGAGCGCUUCUUCCUAUUUCGAGUCGAGUGUUGUGGAGAUGUGGGUCGGGGCUGCAUUGGGAUCAGUCGGAUGAAUAUGGACUGGCUUCGUCUCACCAGACGACUGGAAUGCAGACUCUGUUGUUGGCUUCUUGGAUCGUAACAAGUCACUCGGAUCUGCGGUUUGCAUGUAUUCGUCGAAUUCGACCGCUGUCACUUGGGAGUCGGCAAUCUUCGAGCCCUUCUGAAAGCACUCUUCUGCCUUCUUCCGAUCGCCGGUGACAGUGAUCACUCCCUUUGGUCCUGGCAUUUUCAGUUUGAGGUACAUGUAGCAUGGUCGAGCCAUGAAUCGCGCGUAGGCGGGCCUCCCCAAAAUGGCGUGGUAUGCACUCUGAAAAUCCACAACCUCAAAGGUCAACUUUUCUUUGCGAAAGUGCUUGGAAUCACCAAAAACCACGUCCAGGGCUAUUUGGCCGAGUGAGUUGGCCUUCUUCCCUGGUAUGACUCCGUGGAAACUCAUAUUGCUGGCGCUCAAUCGGGACAUCGGAAUGCCCAUCCCUUUCAAUGUAUCCACAUAUAACAAAUUCAGCCCACUACCACCAUCCAUCAGCACUUUUGUCAGUCGAGUGCCUUCGACAACUGGAUCGACCACUAACGCUUGCCGCCCAGGAGUGGCAAUGUGAGUCGGGUGAUCAGAUUGGUCGAAUGUGAUGGGUGUCUGGGACCACUUCACAUAACUUGGCUUUACUGGGGCAACCAUAUUCACCUCCCGGUUGAUGACUUUCAGUCGACUUUUGCUUUCCACAUCCGCGAAGAUCAUCAGAGUGGAGUUGACAUGCGGGUAUUCCUCCUCACUGUCCUCUUUGUCUCCGGCCUUGUCUGGCUCCUUCUCCUUGUCCUUAGACUGUUUUCCCUGAAACUGCUGGAUCAGGAGUCGACACUGACGAGUGGUGUGCUUCGGGUAAAUAAUGUUGCCCUCUUCAUCCUUCUUCGUGUGGAUAUGGCAUGGCAUAUCCAUCACGUCAUUUCCUUCUUUAUCUUUCACUUUCUUCGGAUUCCAGGAUCCUUUGGGCUUCCCCUUGAACUUCCCCUGAGUCACGGCCAGGGCCUCUCCAGGAGCUGCUGGCUCGGCUUUUCGUUUCUGCUUCCGACUGGAAUUUCCCUUCUCCGACUGGCUUGGCUUGUACUUGCCGCUUCGGAGUCGAUCUUCUUCCUCGCCAUUGGCGUAUUUGCUAGCAAUCUCCAUCAUUCGACUCAGGGUCAUGUCCCCGGUUCGACCAAACUUCAGACUCAAUUCUCUAUUUUUGACGCCAUCUUUGAAGGCGCAAACCGCCUGAUGGUCAGACACAUUUUCCACAGUAUGGUGCAAGGUAAUCCACCUCUGAAUGUACUCUCGAAGAGUUUCAUUGGUCUUCUGCACACAAACUUGCAGCUCUGUCAAACCAGCCGGUCGCUUGCAAGUCCCUUCAAAAGUCCUGACGAACACUCGGGACAAAUCUUCCCAAGUAUAUAUACUGCUACGAGGUAACUGAUUCAGCCAUGCUCUGGCAAAACCUUCUAACAUGAGGGGCAAAUGCUUCAUGGCCACCUCAUCAUUCCCACCACCAAUCUGAACAGCCACUCGGUAAUCCUCAAGCCAAGUUUCAGGCUUGGAUUCCCCAGUGAACUUGCUGACUCCUGUUGCCAAUCUGAAAUUGGGGGGGAUCACUGCGGCUCUGAUAGCCCUGCUAAAACACUCCGGACCAGAGACAUGCACUCGACUGCUGGUGGGUGCAUCCCUCUCGGGUCCGCCUCGAUGGGCUCUGUUCUGGUCGACCAAGCCUUGCACGAUAAUGGAUCGCGCGUCAAAGCCUGGUUCCCUGGGGUCGACUGGAACUCUUCGCCCCGUACUGAACUGUCGUCUGUCAUCUUGCCGCCGAGGAGCGUACGACCCUUCCCUCGGAGGGGAAAGGGGCACUCGACGCCUGUCAUCCCGGUCGAAUCGGUCUCCGUGCUGCUCUCGCCGGUUGUCGCGCCCUUCUCGCCGCGGAGGCGAUCUGGGGCUGUGAGCCGACUGGACAGUGUUCGCAGCGACGGAUCGACUGUGAAUCCUGUUGCGCGACUGCGACACGGCUGAGUUCUGGUCUCCUGCCGCUCGGAGUAAAUCUCUGAUCUGCUGCAAGCCUCUCCCAGCUUCCGACUGGGACGGCUGGAUGGACUCUGCUAUGCGAGUUGCAGCUGCUAAAUUCUGAACUGGCGUGCGGUAUACCUGAGUCGGUGGGAAGAGUCGACGUCGACUGGCUUCGGGGAUUCGUUGCCGCGCGCGCUCGUCGAGUGCUCGCUGAAGAUUCUCCAGGCGAGCGCGUUCAGCCACAUUGGCCAAACGUGCUUCCUCCAAGGCACGAGCCUCAGGGGUUUCUCCGGCAAUAGGAGUAUGAAGUGCAUCCAUGUUCCUGCGACGAAGCUCUUCUCUCUGCAGAGAGUCGAGUGUCUCGGGCUGGUACUCUUCGUGUUCUUGCACGGGGUCUCCUCCUCCAGCGGCCCCACCGCCGUGGGCGAAGCCGGGAGGACUGCGAGGGCCGUCGACCAUGAGGAUCUCCGCCGCUGGAUCACUGCUAUCACACUCGGAUGCAGUCUCUACGGAGCCAGUCGACAGAUCGAACAGGCCGUAGAGGGAUUCGUCGGGCUCGAUGGCCGCGACUUGGGCGGUGGCUGUCUGGCGAGCCACCGCGUGUUUCACCCACCGCUGGAGCCUCGACCGACCAGAACGCUUGCGCUGGUGGGAGACUGGGUGGGCGACCGAUAGGGGAGUCGACUGAUACGGGGUCGACGGUUGCCGCAGCAGAACGCCGCGAACACAUGCGCGAAAGUGUGUCGCCCCGCGGACGGGGAGCGCCUCGAUGUCAAGUGGAGCCUCCUGGAGCCAUGCGGAGUCGUCGGCGACAAAAGUGAGAGCACCAAGACGGAUCUCGCGCCCCUCAACCAAAACUCCAGCAGUCAUCGUGAUGAAGGUACUCGGAAGUACUGCAACUCCUCCACAAAUCGCUAAAACACCUGCCCCAAGGUGGGCGCCAACUGUCGUGGUUCUAAGUCUGACAGUAGAAAUGGGGGUAGGUAAGGGGAGGCGAUGUCCUAGCUAUGGAGUAGUUGUGAAGACAAGUGAUGUACGAGUUCAGGCCCUUCUCGGAGGAAGUAACAGCCCUACGUCUCGGAGCCCUGAGGCGGUCAAGUGGAUUAUGGAUAUGAGUAUUACAAGAAUGCGAACCCCUCUACCUGUGGAGGAGGGUGGCUUAUAUAGAGUGCGCCAGGACCCCAGCCAGCCCACGUAUUGGAGAGGUUAAAGUGCAUUAAGUCUGGGGCGUUACUGGUAACGCCCCUCAUAAAGUGUCUUAACUAUCAUUAAGUCUAUUCAAUAGUAAGCCGUUGUGCUGCGGAGUGUCUUCUGACCUUCUGGUGGUCGAGUGAGUCUUCAUGGUCGAGUGAGUCUUCCAUGGUCGAGUCCUUCCAGUCAGUCGAGUGGGUUCCUCUUUGGUCGACUGGAAGAUGAUCUCUUCUGAGAGUGUCCUUGGGUAGGACGUUUAGGUCAGGCCUAUGACCCUACCCUAGGUAUAUGAAUCCAUCAACAUCCACGCGCGCUCCUCCUCCGCCGCCCGCCUCGCCACGCCACGCCUCACCUCGUCACGUCACGUCACGUCGCGCCGCGCCGCGGGUUGCGGGAAUGAGCCGAGCCGAUGUCUAAAUUUUUGCCACGCACUACGGGUAUGCGAAAGGUCACUCGGAAGCUGAAACAUUUUCUGUAGUGGACACUGAAUUCGAACAGCGCGCCUCUUCGGCUGCUGUCUGUUCGUUUCAGCUCCCGACGCAACCUCUCGCCUCCUUCUCUUGCGCCUAUAAAAGGGAGGUCGCUCCUCUCAGAGAGACGCACCAGAAUCUCUUCCUCCUCUCGCCACAAGUUCCUGAGCAUUGCGCUGCUGUUACGUUCUUCCUCAUCCCGGCUUGCGGCGUGCACCGCAGGUCGGGACAGUAGGCCUCCGAAACCGCACUCUUUGAGUCCUGUACGGGAGAAGGGUGAUAAGGUUUUUGGGGAGCGCUCAACGCGACUACUGGCUUCUUCAUCACGGACGAUCUGGUCGCCGACGACGACUUCCCCGACGACGACUUCUUCCCCGACGUCGACAACCUCCUCGACGACAUGGCUGGCAAGGACACCGAUCCCAAGUCCAGUACUGCUGCUGCUGUCGUCCCGUAUGUCAUCUUCUUUCUGUCACAUGUUCUGCCACAGUUACCUCUACUAGUACUUGCCCUACAUAUGUUAAGGUUCUACUUCAUAUAUGCAACUAGUUCUACCGUCUGCUAUAGAUAUGUUUGGCUACGGUUCAUAUAUGCAGAAGCUAUUUACCUUCUCUCUGUCAGAACGCAUGACUUGCUUUAUCUCUAUUAUUUUAGUCAUGUUUUAUCUACUAUUUCUGUUAAUAAAAUCAUUCUGUAAAUUGCUCAUAUUUCCAACAAUCCAAAAACCUUAUUAUAGGCAAUUUACCUCGAAUGGUUUUGCUGCUUCCAUGAGACCUCCUAUGUUUGAGGGUAUCCACUAUAAGAGGUGGCGCGUGAGAGCAGUCUUAUGGUUUCAAACCAUGAGUUGCUAUGACGCCACUCUUGGCAAACCUGAAGGAGAGCAAGAUGCCCAACAGGCACAAGCUUUUCAGAAAAUGGAUACCUUGUUUAAGGCUGCUCUCUUGAGUGUUCUUGGUGAGAACAUAGUUGAUGCUUAUGCGUCAAUUGAUAAUGGAAAAGAUAUGUGGGAUGCACUCGAGGCCAAGUUUGGGGUCUCGGAUGCUGGCACUGAGCUGUACAUCAUGGAGCAAUUCUAUGAUUACAGGAUGACUGAAGAGCGCUCCGUGGUUGAGCAAGCUCAUGAGAUACAGUCGUUUGCUAGAGAACUUGAGCACUUCAGUUGUACGCUACCGGACAAGUUUGUUGCCGGAGGUAUCAUCACUAAGCUUCCUCCUUCAUGGAGGAACUUUGCUACCUUGCUGAAGCAUAAGAGGUAGGAGUUUUCCGUCCCGGAUCUCAUUGGCACUCUUGAUGUGGAAGAAAAGGCGAGAGCAAAGGACACACGUGCUCGAGGUAUUGAGGGAGGAUCUAGUGCCAAUGUGGUACAGAAGCAGAACUUCCAGCCCCACAAGUUCAAGAACAAGGGCAAGUUUGAUGGUAAAGCAAAGUUUGAUGGGAAGAACAAGGCUGUGCAACACACGAACUUCAAGAAGAANNNNNNNNNNAAAGAUCGUGCGGCUGAAGAACGUGCAUUAUGUCCCCUCCGUCAAUAAGAAUCUUGUUAGCGGAUCUCUUCUGUGUAGAGAUGGCUACAAGCUUGUCUUUGAGUCGAAUAAAUUUGUAAUAUCCAAGUAUGGAACCUUUGUCGGUAAAGGCUAUGAGUCAGGAGGCCUGUUUCGUUUAUCCUUAUCAGACGUUUGCAAUAAAGUUGUUAAUCAUAUUUGCAACAAUAGUGAAUCAAAUGUGUGGCAUUCACGACUUUGUCAUGUUAACUUUGGUUGCAUGUCGCGACUAGCGAAGUUGAACUUAAUCCCUAGUUUCACCACCGUUAAGGGAUCUAAGUCUCAAGUGUGUGUGCAAGCUAAGCAACCUCGUAAAUCUCACGUGACUGCGGAGACGAGAAAUCUUGCACCACUAGAACUUAUACAUUCAGAUCUAUGUGAAAUGAAUGGUGUUUUGACAAAAGGUGGAAAGAAAUAUUUCAUGACGUUAAUUGACGACUCCACUAGAUACUGCUGUGUGUAUCUUCUGAAAUCUAAGGAUGAGGCUUUGAACUUUUUCAAGAUCUAUAAAGCUGAAGUGGAAAACCAACUUGAUCGGAAAAUCAAGAGGCUUAGGUCCGACCGUGGUGGAGAGUAUUUUUCCAAUGAAUUUGAUGCUUUUUGUGCGGAANNNNNNNNNNUAUUAGGAGCAAGAGACAGAGGACUGCAAAGUCCUUUGGUGAUGAUUUUCUUGUGUAUCUCAUAGAUGACACUCCCAGUUCCAUUUCAGAGGCCUAUGCAUCUGAAGAUGCUGACUACUGGAAGGAAGCAGUUCGUAGCGAGAUGGAUUCUAUCUUGGCGAAUGAAACUUGGGAGAUAACUGAUCGUCCUUAUGGGUGCAAACCUAUAGGAUGCAAAUGGGUAUUCAAGAAGAAGCUUAGGCCUGAUGGUACUAUUGAAAAGUACAAGGCUCGGCUCGUGGCUAAGGGUUAUACCCAAAAGGAAGGUGAAGACUUCUUUGAUACUUACUCACCUGUGGCUCGACUGACCACUAUUCGAGUCCUACUUUCACUAGCUGCCUCACAUGGUCUUCUCGUUCAUCAAAUGGAUGUUAAGACUGCUUUCCUAAAUGGAGAGUUGGAUGAGGAAAUUUAUAUGGAACAACCAGAUGGGUUUGUAAUAGAUGGUCAGGAAGGGAAAGUGUGCAAGUUGCUGAAGUCUUUGUAUGGACUCAAGCAAGCACCCAAACAGUGGCAUGAGAAGUUCGAAAGAACUUUAACAGCCGCAGGCUUUGUUGUAAACGAAGCUGACAAAUGUGUGUACUAUCGCCAUGGUGGGGGCGAGGGAGUUAUGCUUUGCUUGUAUGUUGAUGACAUACUGAUUUUCGGAACAAAUCUGAAUGUUAUUAAGGAGGUCAAGGAUUUCCUAUCUCGUUGUUUUGAGAUGAAGGAUUUAGGAGUGGCUGAUGUCAUUCUGAACAUCAAGUUGUUGAGAGACGAUGAUGGUGGGAUUACAUUGCUUCAAUCUCACUAUGUGGAAAAGAUCUUGAGUCGCUUCGGCUAUAGUGACUGCAAGCCCUCUCCAACACCAUAUGAUGCUAGCGUGCUGCUUCGAAAGAAUCGAAGAAUUGCUAGAGAUCAAUUGAAGUAUUCUCAGAUUAUUGGCUCGCUUAUGUACUUAGCCAGUGCUACAAGACCUGACAUCUCUUUUGCUGUUAGCAAGCUGAGCCGGUUUGUCUCAAAACCGGGAGAUGUGCAUUGGAAAGCUCUAGAGAGAGUUUUGCGUUAUUUGAAAGCCACUGUAAAUUAUGGAAUUCACUACACUGGGCACCCAAAGGUGCUUGAAGGGUAUAGUGACUCAAACUGGAUCUCAGAUGCUGAUGAGAUAAAGGCCACGAGCGGAUAUGUGUUCACUCAUGGAGGUGGCGCUGUUUCUUGGAAGUCUUGCAAGCAGACCAUCUUAACGAGGUCAACUAUGGAAGCAGAGCUCACAGCACUAGAUACAGCUACGGUCGAAGCAGAUUGGCUUCGCCGGCUCUUGAAUGACUUGCCGGUUGUUGAGAAACCUGUACCGGGUGUCCUUAUGAACUGCGACAAUCAAACUGUAAUCACAAAAGUGAGCAGCUCAAAGGAUAACAUGAUGUCAUCAAGACACGUUCAGAGAAGGUUAAAGUCUGUCAGGAAAAUGAAAAACUCCGGAGUUAUUGCGUUGGAUUAUAUCCAAACGUCUAAAAAUCUGGCAGAUCCUUUCACUAAGGGUCUAUCGCGUAAUGUGAUAGAUAAUGCAUCGAGGGAGAUGGGUAUGAGACCCACAAUAUGAGUUGUUCACAGUGGUAACCUAUUCUUUGUGAUCGGAGAUCCCGUGAAUUAGAUGUGGAAGACAAGCUGUUGGUCAACUGAGAAGAGAGUAUCCCUACUAUUCCCAAUACCACUCCAUGAAGAUGCAAUACUCUCCUAAUCUGCAUGGCAGGUUGAUGUAUAUCUUAAUGUGUUCUAAGUGGCUCUUUGAAGUAGAGAUGUUGUCCUGCAUAACAUCUUUUGAAGAACACACCUAUAUGAGUCUGAUUGUCAAACAUUGCAAUCUAUGAGAGUAGGGUUCUCUCUAGUAAACUCAUGAAAGGUCACGGAGUAUGACGCAUAAGCUCCACCCGCGGGGAAGACCCACGGUAGCCACGUAUCGGUCAAGGCUUUAUGUGAAGCUAGAUUCGCAGAAAACUUGCAGUUCAAGGCCCAGUCCACUGUUCAAGUUGCUUACUAGUGUAGCAUAGAGUUCUAGGUGGAAGUUCAACUUAACAGUCUCCACUGCAGUACCGGUAUAUAAAACAGUGUUUUGGAACCAAAGGCAAAUUCUGUGUGCCUCUGGGAUCUGGUGGGGGAUUGCUGGAAUUUAGUCUAUAUUGGGGCAGCCCAAUAAUUAUUUCAGAAAUUCCUAAUAAAUCCUAGAGGCCCACUUAGCCCAUUUGUGCAAGGCAAGGGAUACUACUAAAGUUUAGUCCCACAUUGCUAGUUUAGAGGGAGUUGGACCUCUUUAUAAGGGAGGCUCCUUCCCCACUUGUAUGAGCAUGAGAACAAGAGGGACAUCCACGCGCGCUCCUCCUCCGCCGCCCGCCUCGCCUCGCCUCGCCUCGCCUCGCCUCGUCACGCCGUGCCGCGGGUUGCGGGAAUGAGCCGAGCCGAUGUCUAAAUUUUUGCCACGCACUACGGGUAUGCGAAAGGUCACUCGGAAGCUGAAACAUUUUCUGUAGUGGACACUGAAUUCGAACAGCGCGCCGCUUCGGCUGCUGUCUGUUCGUUUCGUCUCCCGCAUUCCCUUCAGCUCCCGACGCAACCUCUCGCCUCCUUCUCUUGCGCCUAUAAAAGGGAGGUCGCUCCUCUCAGAGAGACGCACCAGAAUCUCUUGCUCCUCUCGCCACAGGCUUGCGGCGUGCACCGCAGGUCGGGACAGUAGGCCUCCGAAACCGCACUCUUUGAGUCCUGUACGGGAGAAGGGUGAUAAGGUUUUUGGGGAGCGCUCAGCGCGACUACUGGCUUCUUCACCACGGACGAUCCGGUCGCCUCCCCGACGACGACUUCUUCCCCGACGUCGACAACCUCCUCGACGACAUGGCUGGCGAGGACACUGAUCCCAAGUCUAGUACUGCUGCUGCUGUCGUCCCGUAUGUCAUCUUCUUUCUGUCACAUGUUCUGCCACAGUUACCUCUACUAGUACUUGCCCUACAUAUGUUAAGGUUCUACUUUAUAUAUGCAACUAGUUCUACCGUCUGCUAUAGAUAUGUUUGGCUACGGUUCAUAUAUGCAGAAGCUAUUUACCUUCUCUCUGUCAGAACGCAUGACUUGCUUUAUCUCUAUUAUUUUAGUCAUGUUUUAUCUACUAUUUCUAUUAAUAAAAUCAUUCUGUAAAUUGCUCAUAUUUCCAACACAACCUACCCGACAGUGUAAAUAAAUAUUUAGCUUGCAAAACAUUACUCUAGAAAACUCAUUCAGAUCAAAUGCAACCGACCCUUAAAAAUACAUUGUUCGCGUGUUAACAGCUUUUGCAUGAUUUAACUAUAGGUUACAAAAUAAAUGAAGUAAAAUGAAAUGAAAUAUUCUUAUAAAAAUAAUGUUGAACAAAGAAAUCCAGUAAUUAUUCAGCAAGGGCAGGACCGCAAGACGAUCGAUCUGGACGGGCUAACAAUAGUUAAUCUCGUGUGCGCAGAUAAAUCAUAACACCGAGCACAACUGUGCAUGCUUACCUUACAAUUCGGAUCUGAAUCAGUUGGGUUGCAGAUUUCAAGUUGACCACCUCUUGCCUUCAUAGUUACAGCCUGCUGUGAAAAAUUUCCCCUCUCACAAAUUUGUUCCAUAUCGUGCUGCGCGGCAAAAGGGGACAAACAGGGGGGCGGAAACCUUAGAUCAUCACUGGAUCAGAUCAAAUAGGGCCUAGCUAGGCAUGGCCAGAGGGAGGCGGGGAAGGAGGAGACUUACGUGUAGAACAUCAUAAGACCUUUGAUCUGAACUGCGGCUCCAGCUUGCCCUUCUAGAUCCGGCCCUUGCCCUGCCAGCGUCGCCGGUUCUACCGCCAACAGUGGCUGCCAACCUAGAGGAGGGAGAGAGAUAGUGAAUGGGAGAUGGGGCGGUCAGGUUAUGAGGAGGGAGUGAUUCCAGUCGCACCAAGGAUGGCGGUUCGCUUGCAAUUCUCCUUCUGUGGGUCGUGGGGAGGAGUCAACCGAAGGGACAUCAAACACGGGGGAUCAAAUCUUGAACUGUUGCUCCGAGCCAUCUGUGCUUAAUCAAAGGGCUGGAAAAAUUAUGAUGGUGUGGACGCGCGAGAUGACGUGGCACAUCGCUGAUGUGGACAGUGUGCAUGGUGAGAGAAUAGGAAGUAGUGGGGAGCAACUUCUUAAGAAUGAUAGAUUCCUCCUCCGAACAGAAUAUCCUGAAUCUACAACCUACACAUGCACGGUUAGAAUUAAGUUGCUUCCAAAAAUUGCAUGACAUAAUUGCUUCCAGCGACUGAACAAUUUACUUCAACAACAACAAAAUUUAUUCAAUCUAAUUGAAAAUUGUGUUCGGACCUAACCGAAAUUUGUGCCCAUUAUAAUGGUUAUUUACUUCCAACUAAACAAGAGUUUGUUUCUGUCGACUAAAUUUUUUGCUUCCAUUCACUAGUGCAGAACCGGGCUUUAGUGCCGGUUCGUGACGGCCUUUAGUGCCGAUUGGCGAACCGGCACUAAAGAGUGGGGACUAAAGGCCCCCCCCCCUUUAGUACCGGUUCGUCACGAACCGGCGCUAAAGUGCAAACACGUGGCAUGAGCUAGGCCCCGGUGCGUGUUGGACAUUAGUACCGGUUGGUAACACCAACCGGUACUAAAAGUUUGGGUAUUUUUUUUAAUUUUUGCUUUAAUUUUGUGUUUUCAAUUUGGCUUUAUUUUCCAUUUAAUUCUUUUUUGUUUGCUGGUAUUUCACGAUACUAUAAAUUGUACAUGUUAUGCAUAUAUAUAAAUAGAUUUUCUCAUAUGUAGAACCGUAUAUAUAUAUAUAUCAUCGAAUGUCUCACAGCCAACACCAUUAACUAUUCACACAUACACAUGUACAUACAUAUACAAUUUCUCCUACAUGUUGCCUUGGUGCCUUCGGAGCACGAUGACAAGUGGUUCAUGGGGGCGGUAGUGGGUAAUAGUAUUCUCCUUUGGGAUCUAUGACCUGGUCGAGCAAAAAUCCGGCUAUUUCCUCUUGAAGUGCUUGUAGGCGGUCCGAUGGUAGGAGCUUAUCCCGCACCGACCUGAACUGUUAAGAAGGAGAUCAAUAUGCAUGUGUGUUAGUUGUGUGACUAGAUAUCGAUAAUGGUGUGAAUAGUGUUCUGACAAAAACGUACCCAGUCCUGUAUAUCAGAUCUGCUCCUUUCGCACGUCAUCAUGCGAAUGUUCUCACAUACGUAGAAUGCACACAGAUUAUUCCCCGACGCAUGCCUCAGGGCCUUUACGAGAAUGAAAUUGAAUCAGAUAAUGAUUAAUCAAGCAUGAUAAUUAAUUAAUGAUAUUGAAACAAGAAUUAAAGAGAUGGUAGCUAGCUAGUACUACUUAAUUAUUUACCUUGGGUCGACGCCAAAACAACCUUUUUGGCCACGUGCCUGGAGUCACCUUGAUGAACUUUGCCCAUGCCCUUCCCGCCGGCAAAGAAAAUUAAUAAAGGGGUUAUUAAAUAGUUCAUAUCAGGAACUAAUAGUUAAAUGGUUGAAAUUACAUGUUGACUAUCCCCUUCACGAUGGUGUAGUCUUUAUCUUUUUUAGUUAGUGAGUCCAGUAAUUUAACUUUUCCUUCCUCAACUUUAAUGUCUAACAAGACCCAGUGCCAACUGCAUACACACACGUUUGCAUGUCUUAAUUAAGCGGGCAUGUGCAUAAAAUUAAUCAACUACCCGUAAACCGAAUACACUUAAUUAUUAACAUCUAGCUAGCUAGUAAGCAAAAACAGAAUUUGUAGUACAAGACAGUGUGACUCACGGGAAGUUGUAAGGAAGUAGUAUAUCUUUAUUGGUAUUGAGGCGCUUCAAGAACUCUAGCAUGCUUUCCUCUACAGCAGCUUGACAAUGUUCAAUCUCCCAUAUUUCCUGAUUAAUGAUAUUUGGGUCAAUGAACCCAACGCCAUAGCAUCCAGCUUUUUUCGUUUCAUACAUCUUCAUCUUGCAUAUAAUACCACAGAAAAAUAAUAUAGUGAGGAUAAUUACAUGUAAUGAUUGAUCAAAAUUAUCACUACAUAACUAGCUUGAGACUUAAAUUAAAGAAAGAAAUCACUUACAGACAAUAGCAACUGACGAUAGACUUGUCGAGUGCGUCUUGAUUAAAUAACUGAAAUAGUUCUGGCUACUCAAUGGCCAGAGCUUUCUCAUGGUAAUAAUGCUCAUGCUUGACAUUCACCAUGAGGGACUCUCGAUUGGAAAUCUUGGUAAUGUUUAUGUACCAUUGAUGCAAUUGAUACAUUCUCGUUGGGAGGUCCUUGACCUUGUCUGGAUGGACCAAAGGUUUGCCCUGGACAUAUUGCCAUGCUAUUUCCGAUUCUUUAAGCGUAGGCAUGGGCUCGAUUUCGAGGAGUUGUCCAAUAGAGAUAUUGAGAAUUUGAGCCUACAUUGUAUGAUCCUCUGUUAUUACCACAUCGCCAUGCUAGGGAACGCUAACGGUUUGCCCACAAUAAUAUUUGGCGCGCGUACUACUCCUCUCCUGUGUUGUUGGCACAACAAGCGGGGGGAUCGCUUGUGCCGCCUGUUCUCCCAACUGGGGAACGGUUUUCCAGCAUUUUUUUCCAGCUGCUUGUUGGCUCGAGCUUGAGCUCGGUUCCUUCUGUAGUCGUGCUCGAUGUGCCUUCCUGAUUUGGCGCUCAUAGUCUGAGUCAACAGGCUUGGGAGCUGGUUCUCUAGCCAUACGAAUGAAGUGGUCAAUUACUUUCUCAGACACUUUCUCCUUUGGCGGCGGUGCCGGUUUCGGUCCAAAAUGGGCGUCCACUUGGGCUUGCACUAUGGCUGAGUUUUGCUCCUCAGUCAUGUCGUAAGGCCUCUGAGGAAGAGGAGCGAGGCUUGGACCAUAUUUAUAUCGCUUGCCUUCGCCUGUACUUCCUGAACUACCUCGACUCGUACCGCUACGCACCAAAGCUGCGGGAUGUCUCUUCUGCGACUGUUGAGCCGGCGGAGAUGGCUGAUGUGGAGUUGGACCAGGAGAAGUGGCCUGACGAUGUGCCGGACUUGAAGCAAGAGGUGUGGCCUGACACGGUGCCGGACUUGAAACCGGAGAAGUGGCAUGACGCUGUGCCGGGCUUGAAACCGGAGGAAUCAGCUCACACGCUCGGGGACUUGGAGGAGGUGGCUGACUUCAAGGAGGAGUCGUCUCACACGUUCGGGGACUUGGAGGAGCAGGAGUCUGCUGACUCGGUGGUGAACUUCUAGGAGGAGUCGGCAGACGACGCGGUGUCGGUGGACUUCGAAAGAUGAUGCAAUCCUUUCUCCAUAGGAUGAUACGAUGUAUGGCCUCUCCCAGUGUGCGCUCGUCUUCACCUCCAGGAAUGUCAAGCGUUAGCCCCGAAUAUGGGACCACCACUUCAUCAACCAUGACACGAGCAUAGCCCUCUGGAAUCAGGAUGCAAUGGUAGGUUGCUUCGGGGGUAACUGGAAAAGCAACUCCGUUCGCCACCUUCAUGGAUAUGUUCUUCAUUUUGGAGUGUAGCUCGCAGUUAGUGUUCUCUAUGAUCUCAUCGACAGGGUAUGUAUCCAGCAGUGUGUAGCCCGGGGCAGAACCAACGCUGCUUCUCGGCAUGGAUGGGACGGUGCUAUCCAAUGCUGGACGAUCAUCCGCUUGCCGCUGCCGCUGCUGAGACCCCCUUUCCUGGCUAAGUGAGUCGAUCUGCUGUUGCUGCUGCUGAAAUUUGAGUGCCAGGUCCGUGUGCCUUGCUUCUAGGCCUUGAAGGCGUUCUGCGUCCUGCUUCCUCUGCUCCUCCUCCAGCUUCCUUUUCUUCUCCUCCUCCAUCUUCCUUCUUGCAUGGCUCCUGUAGUCCUCGUUCCAUUCUAAAAAGCCCUCAUACCAGGGAAUAACGCCCAUGCCUCGUGUUCUUCCCUGGUGUUCAGGAUUUCCCAGGGCGCGCGUAAGCUCAUCGUUCCCUCUAUUGGGCGUGAACACCCCCCUUCGAGCUUCAUCUAUUGCGUCAAUUAUCUUUUGUUCGGCUCCUUUUAGACUUGCCUUCCGCAAAACUUCGCCUAUCUUCGGGUCCAACGCUCCCCCAUGCGCAUAGAACCAAGUUCUGCACCUGGGGUAGACCUGGGCAAAUGUCGGGCCGGGCCGGGUUUCGGGUCGGGCUUGUAAAAGCCCGAACUUCAUUUCUUAAGCCCGAGCCCGGCCCGAAGCCCGAAAUACUCCCUGAUUUCAAGCCCGAGCCCGGCCCGAAAUCAAGCCCGAAGCCCGAAAGCCCGGCCCGAACGCUAUUUUUUAGUACGUGUACGUGCAAGCCCGGCCCAAAAAAUAGAAAAAGAGAAGCCCGAGCCCGGCCCGAACUACCUUUCGGGCUGCAAAACAAAGCCCGAGCCCCGCCCGAGUGUCAAGCCCAGCCCGGCCUGGCCCGGGUUUUUCGGGCCGGGCUUGGGCCGGGUCGUCGGGCCGGGCUGCCCAUGCCCGGGUUUAACCUGGGGGGCCAGUGCCGGGUAACCGGAGUGACGCCUGCAUCCUCCAUCUCUUGCUCAGACUUAUCCCACUUAGGCACUCCCACCGCGUAGCCACCUGGACCCAGCCUAUGGAACUGCGUCUUUCUUGCGGCAUUUGCCUUGUUUUUCAUCAACCGUUCCUUAGAUAUUUCUGAAUCCUUGAAGGUCAUGAAAUCGUUCCAGUGCUCUCUUUGCUUCUCCAGUAUUCCCGUGAAAUCCGGAGUCUUCCUUUCAUUAGCGAGGUAGUUGGCCCAUACAGUUUUCUUGUGGGUGUUGAAUGCAAUUGCCAUCUUCUUAAGAGCAGCGGCCUUGACUUUCUCCACAUCUGCUUCAGUGAAAUGAUCUGGUAGGGUGAAAUGUUCCAUCAAAGAUUUCACAAGGUCUUUUUUGGCUCUGUCGUCGACCCAAGUAACACCUGGACGUUUAGUCUUUGGCUCUUUCCAUUCUUGAAUGGAGAUCGGGAGUUUGUCCUUCACAAGAACUCCGCACUGACAAGUCCACUUGUUCGCAAUUUUCUUAGGCGUGAGGGGUUCGCCACUAGGUUUGGUGGAUUCGAUGUGGUACUUUACACCAUCCUUCAACAAUCUGCCCCGGCCUCGCUUUGUCUUGCUUUCUGUAGAAGCAGAUUUGCUCGAUCCAGAGGGCCGAAAGAAGAAAGAUCGAUCCGUUAAUAUAUCUUCAAUAAAAAAACAUGUGAUGAUCACCAUGAUGCAUGCUUAAUUAUAUAAACAUACCUCACCGGUAGUCUUUGUUAUUUGAAGAUCAGCAUUGUCUAUGUCAUCACAAACAUUGUCUGUGUCAUAAUCAUAAUCAUAGUUCAUGACUUCAUCAGCCCGGUCGUCGAGAUCGAAUAUCUUUUCAUCACCCUCUCCGGUAUUGUUCAGAUAUUGGGAGCCGUCAUCUGCUUCAUUAAGAUCAUCUAGCCUGUGAGGGUUGCGUAUGAUGUCGAACAAUUCCUCUUCUCUCUCUCUGCCGGUAUUGUCCGCCAUAGCUUUUACUUUACUAAUACAGAAGAAAUAUAAAACAAUUUAGUAUUCAAAUUACAAUGCAUGGAUGCAAUUAAUCAAUAAGGAAAAACUGAAUCUCGAAUACAUCGUCUCGAAUAUAUAAUCUCGAAUACAUCAUCGAUCGUCUUAAUAUAUAUAAUCUCGAAUACAUCGUCUCGGAUAUUAUAUAUCGAAUACAUCACUGGCUAGGUACCUAAUAAAGAUCGAGUACUACAGAAGAAUCUAGGGCGCCACUCGCGGUCCCUGGGGCGCGGGAGGUGCACACCCAAAGAGAAGGAACCAUCACAGGAUCAUAUCUCUGGUCAUCUGCCCAAAGAACCCGCCAAGUAGUGGAGAACCUGACGUCGUCCAUAGCAGCCAUGUAGCGAUGGACGUGCUCAUCUUCCUCCCCGAUACGGCGACGCACCACCUCCGGCGGGGCCGGCUGCCUCUGCACCGAAUGUGGCCCACGCGAACGCCACCAAAGAAGAUCCGGGUCGACGACGGGACCCGAGGUCGGGUUCCUCACCAAGCGGCGCGCCCCUCCAGGUAGCACCUCCCAGUGCCAGCCCGGCGGAGCCCAGUCCCGGACAUGGGUCCCCUCAAGCAGGACGUCGUCGCGAAUGGGUCGACGGCGAGGAUGCGGGCCGGGCAUAUCGUCGAGAACAAAUACUAUAUACCUGCAAAAAGUAACAUUUUUUAAAUGAUUGGAUUGUGAUAACUAAAAUUCUAUAUAUAUGCAAAUUCUAACAAUUUGACAUUAGUCUAAUUCAUCUAACUAAAACUAAUUCUAAAAUUUCCUGAUUAUAUAACUAACAUUUCCAUAACAAUUCUAAUAUUUAUAUAACUAAAAACAGAAAAAUUGCUAACAUUUCUAUAAAUAUUUCUAUAACUAAAAAACAGAAAACAUUUAUAACAUUUCUAUAAAACUNNNNNNNNNNNNNNNNNNNNNNNNNNNNNNNNNNNNNNNNNNNNNNNNNNNNNNNNNNNNNNNNNNNNNNNNNNNNNNNNNNNNNNNNNNNNNNNNNNNNNNNNNNNNNNNNNNNNNNNNNNNNNNNNNNNNNNNNNNNNNNNNNNNNNNNNNNNNNNNNNNNNNNNNNNNNNNNNNNNNNNNNNNNNNNNNNNNNNNNNNNNNNNNNNNNNNNNNNNNNNNNNNNNNNNNNNNNNNNNNNNNNNNNNNNNNNNNNNNNNNNNNNNNNNNNNNNNNNNNNNNNNNNNNNNNNNNNNNNNNNNNNNNNNNNNNNNNGCGGCGACGUCGACGAGGGCGGCGACGGCCGGGGUCGGCGGCGAGGGGCGGGGGCGGCGACGAUUGGGGCAGGGCGGCGCGACGGAGAGAGGAAACAGAGGGAAGAACAGAGGGAAACUGAAUUUUUUUCAAGUGUUGUAUAUAUAGGAUGGACCUUUAGUACCGGUUGGAGCCACCAACCGGUACUAAAGGUCUGUUUUGGUCAGGCCAAGCAGCGGGAAGCGCACCCCUUUAGUACCGAGUGGUGGCUCCAGCCGGUACUAAAGGGGGAGUCUUUAGUACCGGUUGGAGCCACGACCCGGUACUAAAGGGGGUGCGCUGGCUCCAGGCGGUGCUCAAGUUUAGUCCCACCUUGCUAGUCGAGUGGCUACCGCACUGGUUUAUAAGCCCUAGUGCGGUAGCUCUCUCGAGCUCCUCUCCUAACCAGGCCUACUGGGCCUAACUGUCCUCUUCGUCCAGUGGGCCUACUGGGCCUUUGCGGGCCUGCAUCCUGGCCCAACAAAAGGUUGUGUUGCUAGUCGUAUGCAGGCCGCUUUGGCCCAGUAGGCGGGCUUUUUUUUAGAAAAAAAUCACUUUAUUUAUUUUUGUUUUAAAUAUUUUUGAGUUGUUUUUUGUUCUAUUUAGAGUUUCUUUGUGAAUAUUUUUGCUUUAAGUACAAAAAAUUACAAACUUUUUGUUAGUGCCGGUAGUUUUUAAAUUUGAAUAGUUUAAAUUUUGAAUUAUUUGAAAUUUGUGUGAAUCACUAGUUUGUGAAUAACUUAACUUUGAAAAAAGUUUUUUCAGCGAUUUCUUUUUCUUAUGUUUAAUAUUAGUGUGUUUUAUCAUUAUAUUCAAUUUGGUAAUGCUUAGGUUAUUUAAAAAAUGAAAUGCCUUUGUAACAGUUCAGUUUUCGUCGAAAACCCUGAUACUUCGAAAGAGAUUGUCCAUUUUGUACACGAAGUGCAUCCAGUUUUUGCCGUAACCCUCUCUACUUUCUUGCACAUGCUAUUUGUAUGAAAUUAUGAUACCAUACCAACUUUCAACCUUUUCUGAGUUCAUUUGAAAUGUUUUUCAAUUUCAGGGUCAUUUAGCUGGAAAAAAUCAUUAAAUGCAUGAAAAGAAUUUGUUUGCACAUAAAAUUUCUUCGCGUUUCAAAUGCCAAAACACAUAACUACCCUAACUAUUACAGACAUUCCCUCCUGGGUGUGAAACACAGAAGAAAGUGAUGAUAGUGAAGCCGAUCACAUCCCAGAUCUUUCGGUGUGAAACUUUUUCUUCGCUUGUGUCCCUUUGCGCCGUAACCAUGGAAAAUCUUCAUCAUUUAACAGGAUGCUCGUGUCAAUAUUCACUAUGAAUGGAGCAAUUUCAUCAAACUUUUCAUAAUCUUCUGACAUGUCUGUCUUGUCUUCCACUCCCACGAUGUUUCUUUUUCCUGAAAGAACUAUGUGGCGCUUUGGCUCGUCAUAUGAUCCAUUUGCUUCCUUAUCUUUUCUUUUUCUCGGCCUGGAAGACAUGUCUUUCACAUAAAAAACCUGCGCCACAUCAUUGGCUAGGACGAAUGGUUUGUCUGCAUACGCAAGAUUGUUGAGAUCCACUGUUGUCAUUCCGUACUACGGGUCUUCCGUUACCCCACCUCGUGUCAUAUUGACCCAUUUGCACCGAAACAAAGGGACCUUCAAAUCACCUGAUCCAUAGUUAAGUUCCCAUAUGUCCUCUAUGUAACCAUAAUAUCUUUCCUUUCCCGUGUUGGUUGUUGCAUCAAAGCGGACACCACUAUUUUGGUUGGUGCUCUUAUUAUCUUGGGCGAUCGUGUAAAGUGUAUUCCCAUUUAUCCGGUACCCUUUGAAAGUCAUUAUAUUCGAAGAUGGUAACUGGGACAGCGAGUACAUGUCAUUUUGAAUAUCGCCAUCAUUCAGGGCACGUUUCUGCAACCAACCGGCGAAAGUCCUCGUUUGUUCGCGUGUAAUCCAGUCGUCAGACUUCUCCGGGUGUUUGGACUGUAGAGAAUUCUUGUGUUCCUCCAUAUACGGAGCCACCAAGGCAGAAUUCUGUAGAACUGUGUAGUGUGCUUCAGUGAGAGAAUGCCCGUCCAUACAUAUUAUUUGAUACCCUCCUAGCGUGCCUAUUCCUUCCAGUCUGCCCUUAUGUCGUGAUUUAGGAACACCAAUUGGCUUAAGGUCAGGAAUGAAGUCAAUACAAAACUCAAUGACCUCCUCAUUUUCAUGGCUCGUCGAGAUGCUUCCUUCUGGCCUAGCAUGGUUAUGAACAUAUUUCUUCAAGACUCCCAUGAACCUUUCAAAGGGGAACAUAUUGUGUAGAAAUAUAGGACCCAAAACGUUAAUCUCUUCGCAAAGGUGAACUAGGACGUGCGUCAUGAUGUUGAAGAAGGAUGGUGGGAACACCAACUCGAAACUGACAAGACAUUGCACCAAAUCAUUCUGUAACCUUGGUAUGAUUUCUGGAUCGAUUACCUUCUGAGAGAUUGCAUUGAGGAAUGCACAUAGCUUCACAAUGGCUAAUCGAACGUUUUUCGGUAGAAGCCCCCUCAAUGCAACCGGAAGGAGUUGCGUCAUAAUCACGUGGCAGUCAUGAGACUUUAGGUUCUGGAACUUUUUCUCUGCCAUAUUUAUUAUUCCCUUUAUAUUCGACGAGAAGCCAGAAGGUACCUUCAUGCUGAGCAGGCAUUCGAAGAAGAUUUCCUUCUCUUCUUUGGUAAGAGCGUAGCUGGCCUGACCCUGAUGUAUGCCGUAUUUUCCAUGCAUAUGUUGCUGGUCCUCCCGUGCCUCUGGUGUAUCUUUUGUCUUCCCAUACACGCCCAAAAAGCCAAGCAGGGUCACGCAAAGAUUCUUCGUCACGUGCAUCACGUCGAUUGCGGAGCGGACCUCUAGGUCUUUCCAAUAUGGCAGGUCCCAAAAUAUAGAUUUCUUCUUCCACAUGGGUGCACGUCCGUCAGCGUCCUUCGGAACAGGUUUUCCGCCAGGACCCUUUCCAAAGAUUACCUCCAAAUCCUUUACCAUAUCAUGUACAUCAGCACCAGUACGGUGGCGAGGCUUCGUCCGGUGAUCCGCCUCAACUUUGAAAUGCUUGCCUUUCUUUCUUACGGGAUGCCUUGUCGGAAGAAAUCGACGAUGUCCCAGGUACACAUUCUUCCUACAACUAUCCAAAUAUAUACUGUCAGUAUCAUCCAAACAGUGCGUGCAUCCGCGGUAUCCCUUGUUUGUCUGUCCUGAAAGGUUACUGAGAGUAGGCCAAUCAUUGAUGGUCAUGAACAGCAACGCCUUUAGGUCAAAUUCUUCCUGUCCGUGCUCAUCCCACGCACGUACACCUGUUCCAUUCCAUAGCUGUAAUAGUUCUUCAACUAAUGGCCUUAGGUACACAUCAAUGUCGUUGCCGGGUUGCUUAGGGCCUUGGAUGAGCACUGGCAUCAUAAUGAAUUUCUGCUUCAUGCACAACCAUGGAGGAAGGUUAUACAAACAUAGAGUCACAGGCCACGUGCUAUGGUUGCUGCUCUGGUCCCCAAAAGGAUUAAUGCCAUCUGCGCUUAGACCAAACCAUACGUUCCUUAGGUCACCUACAAACUCCUCCCAGUACUUUCUCUCGAUUUUUCUCCACUGCGAACCGUCAGCGGGUACUCUCAACUUUCCGUCUUUCUUACGGUCUUCUGCGUGCCACCGCAUCGCCUUCGCAUGCUCUUUGUUUUGGAACAAACGUUUCAACCAUGGUAUUAUAGGAGCUUACCACAUCACCUUGGCAGGAAUCUUCUUCCUGGGGCACUCGCCCUCGACAUCACCAGGGUCAUCGCGACUGAUCUUAUAACGCAAUGCACCACAUACCGGGCAAGCGUUCAAAUCCUCGUACUCACCGCGGUAGAGGAUGCAGUCAUUAGGGCAUGCAUGUAUCUUUUGCACCUCUAACCCUAGAGGGCAGACAACCUUCUUUGCUUCAUACGUACUCUCGGGCAAUUCUUUGUCCUUUGGAAGCAUAUUCUUUAUCAUUACCAGCAACUUUCCAAAUCCCUUGUCAGAUACACCAUUCUCUGCCUUCCAUUGCAGCAAUUCAAGUGUGGUGCCCAACUUUUUUUGUCAGCUUCGCAAUUCGGGUACAAUAAUUUCUUGUGAUCCUCUAACAUGCGCUACAACUUCGUCCUCUCCAGAUCACUUGCGCAGUUUCUCUUUGCAUCGGCAAUGGCCUGACCUAGAUCAUCAGCGGGCUCAUCUGAUGCCUCUUCUUCAGCUUCUUCCCGCAUUGCCGGCUCAGCUUCUUCCCCCAUUGUUGUAUCAUCGUAUUCAGGGAACCCAUGACCAGGAUAGCCAUCGUCGUACUCUUCUUCUUCAUUGUCUUCCAUCAUAACCCCUAUUUCUCCGUGCUUGGUCCAAACAUUAUAGUGGGGCAUGAAACCAGACUUAAAUAGGUGGAUGUGAAUGAUUUUUUCUGUAGAGUAACUGUGACCAUUCUUACAGCCAGCACAUGGACAAGGCAUAAAACCAUCCGCCCGCUUGUUUGCCUCAGCGGCCUGCAGAAAAGUAUGCACGCCAUUAAUGAACUCGGGAGAGCAUCGGUCAUCAUACAUCCAUUGUCGGCUCAUCUUCAUUACACAACACCAAAUAGACCAAAUUAAUACAAGUUCAUACAUAAAGUUCAUACAUAAAGUUCAUAUACAACACUUAAUUAAAUGCAACAUACAAAUAACUCUCUAGCUAAAAAAUUUAAAUGCAACAACAAAUGCGAUGAAGAUCGCAACUAAGGUAACAAUUGAUCCAACAACAUAAUGAUACCAAGCCACACUAUCAAUGGCAUAUUUUCUAAUCUUUCUAAUCUUCAACCUCAUUUUCUCCAUCUGGAUCUUGUGAUCAUCGACGACAUCGGCAACAUGCAACUCCAAUUCCAUCUUCUCCCCCUCAAUUCUUUUCAAUUUUUCUUUCAAAUACUCGUUUUCUCUUUCAACUAAAUUUAACCUCUCGACAAUAGGGUCGGUUGGAAUUUCCGGUUCACAUACCUCCUAGAUAAAAAUAUCUAUGUCAACUUGAUGGGCAUAAUUUGUCAUAAACACGAAAUGCAACAACUAGUUUUAAAAGAGAAUAUACCACAUCCGAAUUAUAACAAGGACGAGGGCCGACGGGGACGGAUAUCAAAACCAUGGCACUAUGUAUAACAAACAACGUACGUGUAAGAUAAUUAUACGAGUAACUAUAUAUCCAAAUCACACAAACAUUAAUUUGGUAAUGUAAAAUAUUCAUGAACAAGAGCCUCACCACAAGGUGGUGCCUGCGACACGGGACGGUGCGGGCGAUCGACGGUGGUUACGACGGAGAUUUAGAAGGCACUAAGUAAACCACACCUACAUAUGCAAACUAAGUGUUAUUUUGACCUCAAAUUGCAUAUAAAUCAAAUACUAGCAAAUAUAAUUCCUCCCAAAUUAAUCACUAUACAAAGCAUUGCAAGAGCUAAUCUAGCAAUGAGAGUUGAAACGACAAAGUUGCUAACCUUUGUGAUCAUUUGAAUGGAUGGGGCCCUUCAAAUCUUGAUAAAUUUUGGGCAAAAUAUGUGAGGAGCUCGAGGGGAAAGAGGAAGAACAGAGGAGAAGUGAGGGGAAAGGGGAAGAACAGAGUGGCUCGGGUGGAUGAAGGGUUUAUAUACGUCGACCUUUAGUACCGGUUUGUGCCAUGAACCAGUACUAAAGGUGCUGGACGGGCCCCAGACUGACAACACCCUGCCACCACCCUCUUUAGUACCGGUUCGUGGCACGAACCGGUACUAAAGGUUCGCCACGAACUGGUACUAAUGAGGACGGACGGCUAGCCAUUGGAACCGACACUAAUAGACACAUUAGUGCCGGCUCGAAACCAAACCGGCACUAAUGUGUCUCAUAUUAGGUCCGUUUUCUACUAGUGAUUGCAACUUAAUUUUGCUUCUUGCGGCAACAAGAAAAAAUAUUUUUCUGAAACAUAAAUUGUACAUUGUUAUAUAACAAACAAAAGUUUGCUACCAAAGAGAAGGGAAUGUGUUGCUUCCAUGUAACAAAUGCUUAAUACAAUUACAAAUAAAAUUACAUAAGAAAAACUGUUACAAUGUCCACGUGUAAGAUGUCUGGGAAGCAAGGGUAUUGUCUUGGGUUGCAGUGACGCAAUAGGGAAGGGAUGGGCGCAACGUCGCCAAAUAAAAUUGUCGCCACUAUGAUGGAAGCAAGAAAAGGGACACUUCAGCCAGCUAGAAGCGCAAAAUGGCAAUAUCCUGGUCUGUUGAAUGGUUGCAGAAGCUCGAACUCACAUACUACGUCGGCAAGUGCAUUCCUGGGGGAGGGCUUCAGUCAUUAUCUCCGCCCAUGUCUCCAGCACUAGAGCUGCAAGAAAAGCUCGAGGCUCGUGAGCCGCUCGAGAUCGACUCGUAUUUUUGCUCGACUCGAGAUCGACUCGAAAAGAAAUGAGCUGAUUAUGAACAUUUUAUAUAGCUUGAUCGAGAAACGAGCCGAUCUUGAGCCAGCAUUGACUCACUCGAUUUUAGCUUGAUAGCUCGAUAUCAUAUAAGUAUAUUAAAUAACCUUCAUAACAAUCUCCAAGAAUUAGGAUAAUUCAUUUCCAUAUAUGUUAUAUACUAUUUUUUUUCUUUACUUUACCUACUAGCAAACAUGGAAAUUAAUCAUGGAGAAAAUUUAUUCUCAUCACGUGGCCAACCGUGUGUUCAAUAUCAUGUUAUUUUGGUCAAAACUUGAGACCUGGCGCACCUUCGUCUUGUUAUUAAAUACUACUCUUCACUUGAGAAAGGAUGAGUCGAAUUUAUAGUGAUUUUUCUAUUCUGUUGUGGCCUACCUAGCUUUAAAAUUUGUCUUAAAGUGAUUUUAAAAAUCAUCUUAUUUAGCUCGAAACUAGCUCAAGGUCGACUCGAGAUAGUUACAAGAUGAGCAUGAGCCACUUUCUGCAGCUCGACCUUGAGCUUCGCACAUUUUGGGCUCGCUCGAAUUUUAGUAUGAAUUGUGCCGAGCCUAGGCCAACUCGCUCGAACUCGACUCGUUUGCAGCCCUAUCCAGCACCCCCACAGCCGCCCUUAGAUAGAUCUUGGCUAAGGAUGGCAAUGGGUAGGGUAUGGACAGGAUAGAGCAAUACCAUACCCAUACCCGUAUAGUUAGUGGGCACAAAAUUCUACCCAUACCCGUACCCAUGGGCAUGAAACUUUACCCAUACCCAUAUCCGACGGGUACCCGUACCCAUUGGGUACCCAGCGGGUAGAACAAAUAGUAUACAAGUUGUUCACAAUUUUAUGCUCAUUGAUAGCACAAUUGACAAAAAAAUCAAUUAUGUCAUCUCAAUAACAGGUAGAUGAGUAAUUGACCAAUAUCAAAAUUUAGAAAUCAUAACAUACUCUUAAGUCAAUAGGAGUAGAAGAGUCACAUGACAAAUUAAUGACUAAUUGAGGACAACUUAACAUUAGUUCACCAACGGGCAGGGUAUGGGUAUACCCCUGGGUACAAGACUAUUCAUGUACCCUACCCAUGACUUAAUGGAUAGGAUAUGGGUACUACCCGUGGGUAUAAAAGUGUGCCAUACCCUACCCAUGCGGGUACGGUACCCGUGGGGUACCCGUACCCGUGGGUAAAAUUGCCAUCCUUAAUCUUGGCGCCAUUCUGUGGGGAGGCCGGUGCAAGGCUUUUGAGAGAGCAAUUAUGCAAAGUUGACAUCAUGUGACGCAAAACAUGCAGCAGAAGCUUACCUGAGAAAACCAGAGAAUGUUUGAACUAUCAAAACAUGGCAGUGGUAGCACCAAAGAAACAUAUAUGUACUAACAUAUGGGAGCAUGGCAUAUUGCAAUGGUGAAAGUAAUAGUAAGAUCAUUUUUUUUAAAAAAGAAGCGGGUAGAAUGGAAACAAUAUAUGUGGAACUGAGGAAGCAUAUGAAGCACAAUUUAGAAGCCUAGUAGGUAGGGAACAUGAAAAUGUGCUAUCCCAGUAUGGAUCAUCUAAAUUGGAAGUAUAAAAUAUUGAAAAUAAAAAUAACUAAGAUUUGCGAUUUGGGCAGAGUUGCGGCGGAGCAGUGGAUCUGGUGAGGCGAGCUGGCGGCGAGCCGAGCGAGGUUGGGGCAGAGCUCGGGCGGUGCCGGCGAAUGUGGAAGAUGGGGUCGUGCAGGAUUAGCUGGAGGGGAUUAUGCACGGGACUAGUGGGAGCUCGUGUUUUUCUUCUUCUUCUUUUUUUUUACAUUACGAGGCAAACUCUUGCGUCAGAUUUUGAGUGAAUCAACGGCCGUCGAGCGGUCUGACUAUGGCGUCCCUUCAGACUAUAGAUAGGAAGUGUUUUCCAACAAUAUAUAUGGUUUUAGUAAACGAGUUAUCACUCGUCAAACAUUUGUGUUUGCUCUAUGUUUUUUUUUUGAAAGGCGCUUGCCCGGCUUUAGAUGACCGAAGCCCUUAGCGUUUAAAAGACACAGCCAAGGUUCGCGAAGACAUACCCAAGCCUCUAUUUCAGAGGACGUUUUCGCUUCCACGUCUCAUCACUUGGCUGAAAAUGACCCCUAGGUAAUUUUGUAGAUGGCACGUGUAUUAUUUUGGUAAAUGGCCGUGUACAAAUAUAUGGUGGCUGUAGAUUCUCGCUCAAAAUUUUCUCAACGUGUGUAGCUAUUUUGUUGGUGCGGCUAGCGUUUUCUGUUAUACGUGGGCCAGCACGUUCCGUUGACUUCGCAGUCCAGGAUUUCUUCCGCAGUUUCGUGCAUCUGCGGGCUUCCAUCUGUAUUUGGGCUAUGCACGUCUCUUUAUUGGGCUAUAAUCGGUGCCGUCCUACUGCGAGAAGAGAAACAGCGGUGCCGCCUCUAAUUGCUGCCGCUUUUACGGUCUAUUCCAGAGCCUGGUGUUCUUUCUUAUCGGUGCCGCUGCCGUAGUUUCCGCUAGAAAUUCCGCCGCUUACCGCUGCCGCUCUUGCCCUCUCAUAAAUUUACGUCUCAUCGACCUCUGCCAUUGGUGUUUUCGGUGGCGUUUUACCCUAAAAAGCGGUGCCGCUUCGAUGGUCAGGUCUAGAUGUCUCUAGUGUUCCAGCGAAAAAAAAUUUGUCUCUAGUGUUUUUUAUCGGUGCCGCUGUCGCUGCCCAAUCUAGAAAUCUCGCGUCUUAUCGCUACCAGUUACGUCCUCGAAUUUAGGGAGCGUCUUACUUUGCGGUAGCUAUAAAUAGAUCGCCUUCCUUGCGAUAUUAUUGUACUAGGCCUUCUUCCUCCGUGUGGCAUACAUUAACUACUGGCGUGGCUUCUUCUUCCAGUCGUAAUGGCUGGCGGCGUCCGGGUCGGCCUCCUCACUCGCAGGGGGCUGUGGUUGGUCGGCGUGGUGGCUCGGGACGUUCUGCUGCCUCGGCUGUUGUGUCGGCUCGGCCCGUAUAUAUGAACGAUGGUCUGGUGUCUGAUGAUGGUUCGUCCCGUCGGGGUGGCCGCUCUGUACGGUCUUCGGGUUCUGCAUGUGCCCACUUUGUACGGUCUUCUAGUUCUGGAUGCGCGGAGGGUCUUGCGGCACGAUCUGGUUUGCUUGCUUUUUUGUUUUUCCGUUUGUUUGUUAUAAAGUUUUCCUGUAUGCUAAGUGUUUUUGGUUCUGGACUCUGCUGUUGGUGGUUCUUGCAGGCAGCGGAGGGAGGAGAUCGCCGCUGAGCUAACAACUCACGCAUAAAUCGGUUUCAUAACCAGGCUUCUGGAUCAAUCAAUCCUGCUCCUGAACAGUGAAAACCAGCUUGCUUUGUAGAAUACAGACGCCGACGAAGGUCAAUUCACAUGCCGCGCCCCUGCCUCGCCACGCUCACCGCCACAGACGACCCGGCUGACACGAGGCUGGCGUGCGUAGCCGUGCGCCGCAACCCCUCCGCCAAGCUCGAGCAAGUCCGGGCCGUGGUCACCCGCGGCAUCAUGCGAGCGCUCUUGGCAUCGUCUCUACUGCAGCGGAUGGAGACGAAUAGCGGAGGCGGCGCUCGGCAUCCUGGCCGACGUGGCGGCGGCGAGCGCGGUGGGGAGGUGGGAGAUGGUCCCAGGGCGCUGGUGGAGGCCAUGGCAUGGUACGAGAGCGCGGUUAUUUUCUUGCUGAUCGUUGUUGGAUAGUACUUUCAUAUGUGUGAUGUGUUUUAUUUUUGCGGGUGUUCCUUUUGGCAAGACGGAUCGAUCUGUGCAGCAAACUGCUCUUACUGCCGGCCACUGCCGGUUUGGAUUCUGGCAUUUGCUUGCUCCUUGCCUGAUGUUUGCUUCUGCGUAUGCAUGCUGUCUACGUGGUUCAAGUAGUUAAUCAUUGGACUGGUUGGCCACGGGUAAAUUUAGUUACACAAAUUAAGUUACAUUGAUUCGUGCGGGUAUUGGCUGCUGUAUAUGUGCGUGCUUGGCUGCAUGGGACAUGCACGGCCUGUGUAAUUGAUAGCGGCACUCUAGGUUGUACAUGAAUGGUCGUCUGCAUGGGCCAUGCACGUGUCUGUGUAAUUGUUAGGGUCACUCCAGGUUGUACACGAGCGGUUGUGUGCAUGGUCCAUCCGUUAAUGAUCAGCUAAAGGCAGAAGGUUUUAGCAGAAAAAGUGAAGAAGAUAGUUAUCAGGUGCAAGGGACUGCUUACUCCCAUAGGCGGUUUCACUAUUUUCAGAUUAGAUAAGCCAAGGUGGUUUCUAGAUCUUAGUAGGCGAAAUACUAUUGUGGAUUUAGAUACAUUUUUUAGAUGUGGAUCGGAGGUUGGUGUGAUAUUCAUGUCUUCUCUGUUUGGGAUGCAAGUUCAAGUGAAGUCAUUUUUUAUAUCUUUUUUAUGUUCAUUUCGUAUGCAUGGCGAAGUCAUUUAUUGUAUUCCAGAACACACUUUUUUGUGGAAUAUAAGACACUGUAUGAAGUUUUGGUUUCCAGAUUGCCACAUUUUCUUUGAAAUUCCAUUGUAAAUUUAAAAAUUAUACUCUAAAUUAAAUCAGUUUGGAAAUUUGACUGGUAUGAAAUGGUAUUCAAAAAGUAGAUCAGAUGCCUAUACUUUUUUACAUCCACUACUGCUUAUUCGGGCAUGGGCACCUCCUCCAUAUCCUCCUCUCCUUUUGCUGCAUCUAUAAUUGAAGUUCAGAAGAUGUCCUCCUCCACUUUUGAUAUGAUAUUUCUUUGAGUUAUUUUUGCUACAGUGAUAAUGCCCCUUUUGUACAAGAACUGAUGGUUACUGCACACUAAUCCAAAAUCUUAUGAUCUGCAAUUUCUUCAUGAAGCUCGAAGUUCCCAUGUGUCCAUUUUCAGCAUGGAUGAACGACUACCACCCAGUAAAAUUUUUGUCCUCUUUAUAUUUCUUCUUUUUUCCUUUGCUACUUUUAUGACUCCAGAUCUCGUGAUUGUUCAAUACUUUGUUUGUCUUAUUCUGUUUUGCAAUGUUUUAUUGUCAAAUUUUUAUCUGAAUAUUUGUUUUAUUGUCAAAUUUUUAUCUGAAUAUUUUGAAUGAACAUGGUAUUAUUAUUAAUGCUUAUGCUUUAAAAGAUAAGCAACUAGCAAAGAUUCUUAUUUUCAGAAAUUGGCUUCUAUCGAAGUGAGCAGCAUAAGUGGACAGUUUGGUAGAUUUCAGUGGCCAAGAUUGUUUUGCACGAUUUCAGUGGCAAAUUAUAGGAAUUUGCGGAUUUUCCUGACAAAAAAAAUACCCAUUUGAAUUGUUUAGUCCAAGGAGCAUGGAACUGCGGUCGGGCAUAGCAUUAGCAGGUAUGAUGCCAUACAUCCAACCAACCCCUUGUGAACCAUCUAAGACAUAACAAAGACACUGCAUCAACGAAGAAAUAUCUAUAAGCAGACACUACUACCACGUUAGAAAAAAAAUGUUUUCCAAGGAUAAUGUAUCAGUACAUAACGUAUUGGGGGGGCGCGGCGUGCCGCCGCGCGGGUAUGGCUAGUAAAAUCUAGAUACAGCCCAUUUGGGCGGCUCAAAAUCCGCACACGCACACUGAUACAAGCCAGAAGGGCCCUUGGCUCAAAAGCCGAAACGCACACUCAAACUCGGAGCGUCGUAGACGACCAUUCACUCUUCGUCUACUUGAUUUGGUUCCCUUAGUUGUCUAGCGAACCUUCGGAGCCGACCGACUCAAUCAUCAAUGAUCGACGAGUCCUGGAUCUUGCUUAGCGGCUUCAUAGCUGCAUGAGAUAGUCAUUUUGUACAAAACAUGAGCUAGGUGUUCAAUGAAGAUUCCUUCAAUCAAAGCUUUGUUACGGGUUUGCCAAGGGCCCAACCUAGAGCAGUGAGAACUAGCCACGUCAGCCUACAUGUGCUGCCAGACAUUCGUGUGGUAAUGGCGUGAAAGUCAGCAAAACAUGUCGGCGCCCAGCUACACCUAGUAACUUCUCUGAUGCACCCCAAAGGAAUUGUGCCAUGAUGCAAGAGAAGAACAUAUGGCUUCUAUCUUCGACCACACCACAUAAAACCACAUAAAACAAGAACACCUUCUCAUUCGAGAUGGCUUGGUUUGAACGUGAAGAUUUCUUGGACCUCGUUGCCAGGGAAUGGGAUAAGGGUGGUGUUGGUAGGACAGCGGUUGAACGGUGGCAAAAUAAAAUUAGGCACUUAAGAAGUUUCUUACGAGGUUGGGCUAAGCACCUAAGUGGGGCUUAUAAGAUUGAAAAUGAUAGACUCCUUAUUCUUACGCAGGCCCUAGAUACAAAGGUUGAAUCUUCGAUUUUGCUACCCGCCGAGCUCCAGGUUAAAAGCGAGGCCGAGAAGAGGUUGAAAGAACUUCUUCGCGAGGAAGAGUUGAAGUGGGCGUUGCGCGCUAAGGUCCGCAAAGUAAUCCAAGGGGAUGCUAAUACUCAAUUCUUCCACCUGAUUGCGAAUGGCAAGCACCGUAAGAAGCGUAUAUUCCAGCUAGAGCAGGAUGAAGGCACUAUCGUUGGCCAGGAUAAUCUCAAAACAUACAUCACUGAGUAUUAUAGACAGCUAUUCGGACCGCCGGAGGUUAAUUCCGUGUCUUUGGAUGAGUCCAGGACUGAGGAUGUGCCUCAGCUGUCGGUGGCCGAUAAUGAGAUUUUGCUAGCCCCGUUUACGGAGAAGGAGGUGUUUGAUGCUAUUGCACAAAUGAAAAACAAUAAGGCUCCCGGACCGGAUGGGUUUCCGGCUGAGUUUUAUAAAAAGUGCUGGCACGUUAUUAAGGGAGAUCUGUUACCUAUGUUUAACGAUCUUUUCUCGGGACAACUCCACUUGUUUCACUUGAAUUUUGGAACUAUCACAUUACUCCCGAAGAGAGCGGAGGCUGUGCGAAUUGAGCAGUUCAGGCCGAUUUGCCUUCUCAAUGUUAGUUUCAAAAUUUUCACCAAGGUUGGGACGAACAGGCUCUCACAGAUUGCGCUUUCUGUGGUGCAACAGUCCCAAACGGCUUUUAUGCCGGACAGAAACAUUCUUGAAGGGGUGGUUGUCCUGCAUGAAACGCUCCAUGAAAUUCACUCUAAAAAAUUAGAUGGGGUAAUUUUUAAGGUGGAUUUCGAAAAGGCGUACGAUAAGGUUAAGUGGCCGUUCCUUCAGCAGGCAUUGCGUAUGAAAGGUUUUGAUGAUGCCUGGCGCCACCAGGUGGAAUCUUUUACGCAAAAAGGGAGUGUUGGUAUUAAAGUGAAUGACGAUAUAGGUCAUUACUUCCAAACUCACAAGGGCCUCAGGCAAGGAGAUCCAGUGUCCCCUAUCUUAUUCAACAUUGUGGUAGAUAUGUUAGCAAUCUUGAUAGGAAGGGCGAAGGAUAAUGGACAGGUUAGUGGCCUAGUACCUCAUCUGGUUGAUGGAGGUGUAUCUAUCCUUCAAUACGCUGAUGAUACGAUAAUAUUUAUGGAGCAUGAUUUGGCCAAGGCGAGAAAUAUGAAGCUGUUACUAUGCCUCUUUGAACAAUUAUCAGGGUUGAAGAUCAAUUUCCAUAAGAGCGAGUUGUUCUGCUUUGGGAGAGCCAAAGACGAACAAGAGGCUUAUAGGCAAUUGUUUGGGUGUGACUUGGGAAGUCUACCUUUCUCCUACCUUGGCAUUCCGAUUCAUCAUCGUAGGCUAACUAACAGAGAGUGGAAGUGUAUCGAGGAUCGUUUUGAGAAGAAACUGAGCUGCUGGAAGGGUAAGCUCAUGUCAUACGGAGGCCGGUUAAUUUUGAUUAACUCGGUUCUCACAAGUAUGCCUAUGUUCCUCUUAUCAUUCUUUGAGGUUCCAGUGGGAGUUAGGAAAAGACUGGACUUCUAUCGCUCUCGCUUCUUUUGGCAGGGUGAUGAGCACAAGAGAAAAUACCGACUUGCUAAGUGGGAUAUUAUUUGUCGACCCAAAGACCAAGGUGGGCUUGGCAUUGAGAAUCUAGAGGUUAAGAAUAGAUGCCUACUUAGUAAGUGGUUGUGGAAGCUCGCGUCCGGCACUGAAGCAAUGUGGGCGCAAAUCAUUCGCAGCAAGUACCUACACACUAGAACGCUAUCACAGGUAUCAGUUAGGCCGACUGAUUCGCCUUUCUGGAAGGGACUAAUGAAGGUAAAAGUAUUACUGUUCAAUAGGACAAAGGUUGUCCUUGGAAAUGGUGCUACUACGCGUUUCUGGGAGGAUACUUGGCUGGGAGAUUCACCCUUGGCUAUUCAAUAUCCGUCUUUAUAUCGUAUUGCUCAACGACGUGAGGUGUUCGUGGCGACGGUAUUUCAGACUAUCCCCCUUAAUAUUCAGUUUAGACGGUCGUUAGUGGGCAAUCGCUGGGAGGUUUGGCUCCAGUUAGUUAGGAGACUAAUGGAGGUACAACUCUCGGACCAACCUGAUGCAUUACGCUGGAAGUUGACCAAGUCUGGAGCUUUUACAGUGAGGUCAAUGUAUCUUGAUGUUAUUAACUCAAGUUACAUUCCAACAUCCAAAAAGGUAUGGGAUGUUAAAGUUCCUUUGAAAAUAAAAGUGUUUAUGUGGUUUGUUCAUAAACAAGUCAUUCUCACAAAGGACAAUUUGAUAAAGCGUAAUUGGACAGGACCUACUAGGUGUAGUUUCUGUGAUCGGGAUGAGACAAUUAAACAUCUCUUUUUUGAUUGCCCGCUAGCUAAGAUUCUAUGGCAGACGGUGCACAUUGCGUUUAAUAUUACUCCACCCACGACGGUUACCGCUUUAUUUGGGACUUGGCUUAAUGGGAUUGACUCCGCAUUAGCAAGGCAGAUUCGGGUGGGAGUUUGUGCGUUGUUGUGGACCAUCUGGUUGUGCAGAAAUGAUUUGGUUUUUAACAGAGCAUCACGAAUUCAUUUUUUGCAGGUUAUAUUCCGAGCUACAGCUUUGAUCCGUUCGUGGUCAUUACUCACUCCGAUGGAGGCCAGGGAGCAUUUGGUUACUGGGUCUACCCGAUGGAAAAUGGUUGCUCGGGUUAUCUUCAACCGGUUUGGAUGGCGGUCAUGUAAUAGGAUAGGCAAUUAGUUUUCCUAUCUUCUUUACACUGCCGGUUGUGGCUUUUUUAUCUCUGGCUAGUCUGUGUUUCUAGCCUUUCUUUCGUUUAUUUUUUAGACUAUGGAACUUUGUAUGCACGACUUGCUGUUUUCUUUAAUAAGAGGGCCGUAUGCAUCAUUCUUGAUGCAGAGGCCGGGGUACUCCCCUUUUCGGAAAAAAACAUAAAAGCACAUAGUCCAUCCCCAGGAUCGCUUUUGCCCUUCAGUUCCACUUGGGAGGUGAUCUCUAGUAAGUUGCCUUAAGAAAAUCUUGAUCUUGGUGGGAAUCUUUGCCUUCCAGAUAUCCAUCACUUGAAAUUUGGCUACACCUUGAUGCAAAGGGUGAUAUAAGGAUUUGGUUGUGAACUGACCAGAAGGUUCAAGCUUCGAAGUGAAGGCACCUUCUGCCAUCUAGGGAGAUAUCGAGCCUAAUAAUAUGGCUAAUAAUAUUGCCAAUCUCUGCCACUGUGUGCUCCGCUUGUCCCAGGGGUCGUUGGAGUGUGUGUCGCCAUUGGCCAUGCUGCCAUAUAUCACUAAACAUCGCGUCACGAUCUCGGGCGAUGGUGAACAGCUCAGGAAACUCAUGCUAGAGGGGUCUGUCCAAUCCAUUGGUCAAGCCAGAACACGGUGGUUUCUCCAUUCCCUACGUGAUGACCGCGCCAAUGUGGAGUACGUGACGAAUCCCCAUAGUUUUUUAGAAUUGUGAGCCAUGUGCGGUCGAAGCCUUCACAAAGAGGGCUCUCUGCAAAUAUUUAUGGCGAAUGAUAUCUGGCCACGGCCCACCUGCCUUGUUAAGAUCUUGCAAGCCCAUUUGGUCAUCAGACACCAAUUCAUGAGUUUGCUGUUGAUGAUGCCUAAGCCCCCAACCUCCUUGGGGGUGCAUAUGGUGCUCUGUUUUCCAGAAUCCUUCUCCCAAAAAAUUCUGGAUCGAACAUAAUCGAAUUUCGCAUGUACACCAUCUUGUAAUAAAAAGAAGCCCAUGAUGAACAUUGGGAGACUGGACAUACAAGAGUUUAUGAGCGUUGAUUUUCCCCCGGUCGACUAAUGCUUUCCAAUCCAUGGUUCGCGUCGCUUGCCGAACCGGUCCAUGAUAAAUUCAAAGUCUUCGAUUCUUAGAUGACAAUUAUUAAACGACAUCCCUAGGUAUUUGAUAGGAAGGGCCCCGAGCUAGCAGUUCAUCAUGUGGGCAGCACGCAGCUAUUCCUCGAGGUCUCCUCCAGUGAAAAAGCCUCGCUCUUGUCAUAAUUGAUUUUUAGACCCGACAUACACUCAAAGCACACCAGCAAGAAUUUGAGUUUGACAAUGCUGGUGGUGUCGUUUUGUAUCACUAUAAAGUUACAUCGAACUAUAGCCAUACGUGGACUUAUGCACGUAUUUAUUUAGAAGAAAUCCUUGAUAAAGUUAGGCAAUAGUACAUUUCAGUAUAUAAAUUCAAGAGAAAGAGAUUCUACCACAUGCACAUGAUAUCAUGUGCAUUAUCUGCCAUGCACUGAGUUGGACGUUCACACCUCCACCAAUGUAUUCACUAAAUAGUGUUCCUUCCACGUGACACCUUUUUCCAUCAUGCGUGGCAAUGUUUUCCCUAGAUUCCCUCCGCUUGUCCCUUGCCUCGCACACCGCACACACAAUGAGUUUUCUCUCCCACUCACUAUAUAGUACAUGGAUUUUAUUUUUAUUCUGAGACUAUUAAACAACUGUGUAUGUUGAAACAAAUCUUGGACAAAUAUUACGUUUGACCCUGUGUGUCUUUCUUCCGAUGACAUCUUCAAAACAUGCCCAUAUCAAAUAUGCUUUGACAAUCUUGAAACACGACAAAACUUAUAGGAAAUGGCCCGGACCACAAGAAACACGAUGCAACAUUACGGUACACACUGGAACAAGGUAGCACACAAACACAAAAGAAAACAUUAUAAUGGCUCCAAAACGCGAUGAAAUCCAAAAAAUAUGGUGUGAAACACAAAGAAAUUAACACUGUAGUGCACAACUGAACAAGUCAAAAUAAAAUAAAAUAAGGCAACACCGAAGUACAGAAGGAAACAUUAUAGUGCACCCCAAAAUAUGGUGAAACCCAACAAAAUUGGUUGAAGCACACUGACAGAAUAGGACAUUGUGGUGCACACCAGAUUAAGGCAGCACACUAACAGAAAAACAUUAUGGUGCACUCUCACGACGAAACACAAAAAAUUUAGAUAAUUAUUAUUCUUAUAUUGUAGGAAGUUGAAUUUGUGUCUUACAUAUUAGAUGGUGCACUAAAUAAAAACCACUGUCCAUAUGAGUAGUUAAAAAUAUGUGUUGUGAAUAAAUCAUUUUAAAAUAUAUAUUUAAUUUGGUCUUAUUUUAAAUAACUCAUCGGAAUAAACACAAUUGUUUGUACAAAAUAUGAAUCAAGCUUUUGUUAUGAAGAUAUCAGGCAUCUAAUUUUCAAAUGAAACUCAACUAGUUGUGCCUAACUUGGACAGAGAAUCUGGUUUAGUUGAUACUAGCUAGGAUGUUAGGUGAGGAAAUCACAAUGCAUAUCCCAAUGUAGCAUGCGUGGCUCCAUGCAUGAAUGUCCAAGCCACUGAAAAGAUAAGGUUGCAGUAACUAGCUAGUGUUAUAUGGCACUCCUCAAAUCGCAUUUCACCUUUCCAUUUUGGUGUAAUGGGACGAUCAGCACAUGAUCGAUGUCUGUUGUAGUUGUUGUAGGCUAUGUAACAUGCAUCCAAAACAUUUUGGUGCAAUGGGACGAUCGUAACUCACACGCAUCCUGCAGCUGCAUGUGUCAAGCAAAAUAACAAACAUGGACCAUGAGUCCAUGUCCAUGUCUCCGUGAUGAUUAUGAACAUGCGUGUUGAGAUCACAGUGCUGAUGAUAUCUUGAGGUUUCCUUGGUGGCUUUAUGGAUGGAUUCAGUCAGAAAAAACUCCGUCACAACUUUGUUUGUCCAACCGAAUAACAUGCAUCCGGGAGAACCAUUUACUUGAUGUUUGCUUGAACCCAUCAUCACUGAUGCUCAACUAGUCCAUUUGACAAGGCCCUAACUAGUAGCCUUAAUAAUAUAUAACAACAUGAUAACCCGGGGAUUUCAGAUUGUUAGGAACAGAAGAAUUAGCAGUAAAGUUCAUUGCGCACUUGAUAGAGGCAAUGACACAAAAAUAGAUGCAGCACACCGACACAAAAUGAAACAUUAUGGUGCACUCUAAAGCACGAGAAACUGAACAAAAAUAGAUUAAAAAAACAUCCUUAUAUUAUAAAAUAAGAAUUUGUGUGAUACACUUAGAUGGUGCACUCUGAAACAGAGUGAAAAAUAUCUGAAUAAAAACUACUGUCCAUAUGAAUAGUUUUAAAAAAUAUUGCAUUUGGGUUUUGAAGGUUUUUUGAAAAUAUAUUCAAUAUUGGUCUUGUUUUAAAGAUCUCAUACAAAUAAACAAAAUUGUUCAAACCAAAUGUGAAUCAAACUUUUAUUAAAAGGGAUACCAGACAUCUCGUUUUUAAAAGAAAAUCAACUAUAUUUGGGGCUACAUUUGAUGGAGAAUCUGGCUUGGUUGAUACUAGACUAGGACAUGGUAGGAUGUUAGGUGAGAGAAAUCACUAUGCAUAUACCAUUGAAGCAUGCAACGAUGGAUCCAUGCACGAGCGAGGCUCUUCACCUUAUGCACAACAACGGUGGUGCGGUGCUUGCAUAUGAAUGUCCAAGCCACCGAAAAGAUAAGGCAGCAGUAACUAGCUAGUGUUUGCUGGCACUCCUCACAUCGCAUUUCGUCUUUCCAUUUUGGUGCAAUGGGACGAUCAGCACAUGGUACCUGCUGUUGCCGUAGGCUAGCUAGGUAAUAUGGAUCCAAAACAUUUUGGUGCAAUGGGACGAUCAUAACUCACACGCAUCGUGCAGCUGUAUGUAUCAAACAAAAUGACAAACAUGGAUGAUGAUGAUGAAAUGAGUCUUGAGAUCAGAGUGUUGUUGAUAUGUUGGAAGUCACAGCUUUGUUUGUCCAACCGAAUAACAUGCAUCCGGGCAAACCAUUUACUUGAUCUAAUUCUAGCGUUUUGAAGAUAUUUGCUCGAAGCCAUCAUUGCUGAUGCUCAACUAGUCCCUUUGACAAAAGCCCUAACCAGUAGCCUUAAUAAUAUACUAAAUAACAGCAUGAUACACCGGGGGUUUCUGAUCGUUAGGAACAGAAAAGGAAUUACUAGCUACUCCGUAGUAAAUUUCAUUGCACACUUGAUAGAGCCAAUGACACAUGCAUUCUUUGGUCCUAACAUCUUACACUGAUAAAGAGUAGUGAAAUCAUCCCCAGCAUCAGAAGGAAAAUAAAAACAGUGAAAUCAAGCAUGUAACAGUGUCACAUGCAUGCUCUGCAACAUAGAUAAACCAAGCUAAGCUCUUGCGGAGCCAUGAUUGACAGAUCGAGCUCGCAAUCUCAUAAGUACAUAGCAGUACCAAAUGUUUCUUGCAUACUCAUCAAGCUAAUAGACCCAAAUCUAGUGAUCGACUACUACUAAGUAGUAACUGCAGGGAGGGAUCCAUAGUAUAGAGAGUCCCGUAGCAGCUCCGGAUUCCGGCUCAGGCCAUGCCUGCUUAUUCCUGCGCUGCAGCUCCUCUAGCUACCAUCUAGCAACCGCCACAGCCUCCCCCGCCACCGCCACCGCCACAGCCCCCUCCGUCACCGCCCCCUCCGCCGCAACAAGCACCAC